UGAAGAGAAAGGUAAGAGAGGUGAAAUUAUACAUUAUGCAAAAUCUAACUAACCCAUGAGAAAUUUUUUUACCAAAUAUUGAUUUUAGUAUUUCCUCUUUUAAAACAUCCAACAGCUAUAGGUAAUUAAAGGUGGUAAACCACAGUCGAUAAAAAAUUCCAAGCCAAGACCUCAAGAAAGGAAUAUGGCACAUAAAGUCAUUAAAGUGAAACUCAAAGGCCUGCAUGAUUAAAAUACUCUGAAAAAUUAACAGCAAUGUGAAGCAAGGGAUGGGUAGAGCAGCUUAUGCAGAGGUGAAAUGAGCAAAUAGUAGUAUUUCACUAGAAAUCAUAUUUUAUGGUGGAACUUUCAGCAUGCUCUACAUCAUUUUCACUCCAUAAUCCCAAAAGAUUAUGCCUACUACAAGAAAAAUGAGCCAGUUACUUAACUAAAAUGUGCUUUGUACUUAAGAAAGAAGCACAAGGAUAAAUUCUUAUCCAUUUAAGAAAGAAAAAUAGCUCCUAGUGCAUUCAUAAUUAACAUAUAAAUGAUGUUUUACUCAUAAAUGUAAUGUAUAUGCCCUGCUAACAUGGUAUAUUUAUGAAGUUUCAUCAGUAAUCUAAUAAAGUUUAUAUGUCUACUGCAAACCCCAUUAACUUUUUUUUUUCUUUUUUUUUUUGGAUAGGCAAACAAAAUUAUAUUAACAGCACCAAUCAAAAAAAAAAAAAGGCACACCGAAGUACACGGGACAUAUGCAAGGGUGCCAAAUGGCAAAGAAGGAGAAAGAAACAAAAAACUUCCCUCCCAUUAACUAGAUCCCAACCAGUCAACUAGUUCUAAAAUAGAUCCCACAGUUUCAAGCAUUGGAUGUAAUUACAUCUAUACGUUUUCAUAUUAGACUCAAUAUAGAAAACAACAAUCAAUCUGUGUUUUAAGACUACAUAGCUAUUAACAUUGAAACUUAAAACUUUGUCGCCAAGACAGAACUUAGGAACCUAGCCCAUUAAACAAAUAUAUGAUAGGACAGUAAAAUACAGAAGUACCAUUUUAGAAACGUUUAAGACAACUGAAAAAGGUUGAAGUAAUAUUAAAUGCUAAUAUUUCACAACCGGAACCAUCCUGGUGCCAAAUUAAGCACAACUCAAUCAUAAUCAGUUAUGUUUGAUAGAAUAUCUAAAUAAAAUAUUAAGUUUAGCAUACCUGCAGAAAGAUAUGGUUAUGUAUAAGUAAUUACUUUGUGAGAUGGAAUCCACAUCAUACCCAAGAACAUGGCAAGUCAAGCUUGUUGAUGAUCAAACUAACCACUGUAAGCUGCAAUACAUGAAACUACUAAAACAUCUUUUAAUUAGUAUUAUUAUGUACAGUUUGAAAGGGAAAGGGGAUCUGAAUGCUAACGAAUUACAUUCAGGUGCAUACAUAACUUAUGGAGGAGACCCUGAUUAUAUUAUGAACAGAAUAUAAAAGAGAUAAAACAAAGAGUUCAAUCAAUAUACAGUACAGUUAUUCAGCACUAUAUGGCUUUUGUUAGGGCACAGCUGCCAUAUAGGAGCUGGACUUGUACAACCAGUGCACCAUAGCAUCAUAAGCCUGAUCCAAGUAAUGUUAACACACCAGUUAUGGGUAUUGAGACAUUUCAUUUACCAUAUGGCAGUAGAACCAUGACUUCAUGUUAUUGAACACUAUAGCUAUAAUUAUAUUAAAUCAAUUAUUUAUAGCAAAUAAAAUAAUGUUCAAUUAACCAGUACUGACAAACAUGCAGUUGAAAACUUGAUGAACUUUAAUUAAUUGUGUCCAUGCCAAUGCAUUUAGAGGUUGUUUGAUAAUCAUUUAGGGGUUCUUUGAUAAUCAUAUCAAGUACAGAGAACUUUGAUAUAUAUAUAUAUAUAUAUAUUCUAUCCAUGCAAUGCAGUUGGUGAUACAAAAAUUGUUAUCCACUUAAAAAUAAGUUAAACUUGGAAAAGGGCUUCUGCAAACAGCCCUAACCGUAUACAGAAAGCAUGAGAUGCUCCAUUGGACUUCAGAAUUUUCUCACUUUGAAGUUCUAUUUUUGCUCUCUUUUUCCAUCAAAAUGACACCCUUCUUCAACUUUGUAUCACAUGCUUGAAACAGUAAAGCAAAAUUCCCUUCACCUCCUUCACAAGCCAAGGUAUUUUUCCAAAUUAUGAUUUUAACCUGUGUUUUUUUUUUUCCUUUCUUUGCUUCUAUAGAGAUGAGACUUGUUUUGGUUGGGAGUUCCUUCCCUCACUCCCUCCCUCUCUCUCUGUAGUUUUGUGGAUUGGAAUACAUUCACUUUUUGGAAUAAUUAAUUUUUUUAUUAACGCACCAAUUUUUUUUUGGACCAGGAUUCUAUACACAAUAUAAAUGAUUUUUUUUUUUUUCCCACACUACCAUGACAAUUGACUCACUGGAUCUCAUCUUCUGUCCUCUCACUUGGUUUCUUUUUGCCUUCUUCCUGCUUAGCUUCUUUUCACAGGAUCACUCAUUCUUUUUUGUAAAUUCUUCCCUUCUAUAAAUGAUAACAGUCUUGUUUCUUGUCAAAAGAGGGAAGGGGAAGAAGAAAGUUUGACACAAUUUGGCCUAAAAUAUAUACAAAUGCAACAUCUUCAUUUCUUUUUCCCUUUUUCUAUGCUUUUUUUAAUUUUUUUUCCUUUUUGGGUAGGCUUUGUUGUAAGGUCUCCUAGUGCAGAAAAAUAGCAUCUCAACAACCAUGUGAUUUGUAACAAGUACCAUCUCAACUACUAAGUGGUUUGCAAGUACACACCGAUGCCAUCUCAACUACCAUACCAAUGCUCUCCUUUAAGUGAUCAAAGAAGCAGAGUCUAAAGUACAACCUGGUAUAUACCUAUUUGAGAUUAAAAUCCCAAUGGUAUAAAAUAUUCUACUGCAAGUAGCAUAUGAAAUUUCAAAUAAAAUAUGUAGCAAAAUUUGAAAGUGAGUAAAAGAUUCCUUCCAAGUGUUGAAGAAAAUUUAAUUUUCUUCCAGAUGAUGAUACUAUAACUGGAUUGGAGUCUAUAAUAUCUAGUGAUCACCAAAUAACCAAGACAUUUUACUAAGUCUGCUUUGUCUACCACACCUUUCCAAAUUGAAAUUGAGAUCUUAUUUAUCAAACUAGUUCAACAGAAUUUUCUGAAAUUCGGUACAUAAAUGUCAAUAAAAGAAUGCCAUUACAAGAGUAUAAAGAAAAGCUUGUUGAGUAAAAAAAUUUAAGAGUUUGAUUGAAUUCCACACUAAAAUUUCAUAUGAUAUCAAUUGGUUUUUCACUUUUUUAAGUUCAGAACUCAAAAGCCUUCAUCACUAUGCUAUAAUUUUCACUGUCACUAACCAUCCCCUUAAAGGGCUUACCAAUGCCCAUAUUUGAUGGAUCUGAUACAUAUCCCACAGCAGCAUUCAAAUCAUGUGGCUGACACUGGCACAUGAGGAAAAGGAACUUAUACACUGUCACUAACCAUCCCCUUAAGACAGAGCACAAAGGAGAAUGGGGUUGAACUGCUGAAGAUAUAUCAAGGUAGUUUGGCUGUUCCCCAUGUCUACAGGAUUAUUUGAGGGAGGAGGGAAACCUUGGGAUCUAGAAUUGUAUUGCAGUUGAUAUCCCAAUAAAAUUCAAGCAGCAAGGAUUAAUAAAACAUUGAAGCUUUAGAUUUAUCAGUUAUGGAGGAGAGAAGAUAACAGACUGUAAAAGCAAACUGUGUUUGCAGUAUCCUCGUUGAAGAUGCUCAUGUGCAGCAGGGUGCAUAAAUAUGCAAGUGUCUAUUACCAUGAUGGAGGAAAAGAAAAUUAAUGACAGGAUUUCUGGCAUAAUUAAAUGAUAAUCAGGUUCAGCAUCAUUUCUGAAGCUGAUCACUACUUGUGUUUACUUAGGAAACUCUUAAUUAGUGACUGAAAACUCCAAUGCUAUGUUUGGUUCUGGGAAAAUUGGAGGAAAAAUGGGAGAAAAAAAAAGUGAAGAAAAAUAAAAAAUAGAUUUAAAAGUUAAUAAAUUACUUUCACAAGUUUCUUCAAACUAAUUUUACUUAUUUUUCACUCUUCUCUAUAAAGACUAAAUGAUUUUAUUUUCUUUUAUCUUUUACAUAGUAAAAACAUCAUAAGAUCAAUUUCCUUCAUUUUUUUUUUUCCUUUCCUUAGUACUUUCCCAUAACCAAACAUAACACAAAACUAUCAAUCAUUUCCUCAUUAUUUACAGAAGCACAAAAUAUUAGUAGUCAGAUUGGUUUUAAAUUGACGGGAUCAGUAGCUUAUUGGUAUUCAAGGGAGUUCAUCUUUGCACUACAAGUACUUUUUAGGUAAGAUUCCCAAAUAACUAUGGAUGGUUUCUAUGAAAAUUUCUACACGGGUGUAACAUUAAAACACCAUCCUCAAGCUCAAGAAAUCAAACAUGGAAACUGGAGAUUAUGAAAAUGCUAACAUAGAACUACAGAAUAACAGAGGAAUCAAAGAAAAUAUAUGAAAGCUGUCGUUUUCUAUCUGAAUUGGACGAUUUACAAGGCAAUAUAACUUGAGUUACACAAUUAUUCGAAAUCAUUCAAAUAUCAAUAUAAUUCAAGACCCUAUUUUGUACAAUAUACCCCAACAAAGCACAUGAAUUCCCUAAAAAAAAUGAAGUGGAAAAAGGAUGAGCAAGCUACAACAAAUCAAACAUAGCUAUAUGAAAAUUCAACUAUAUUCACGAUCAGGAUUUGAAGCAAACCGAGGUUCUCUCCCUCCAUCUAGAAGCUUCAAUAAUGCAAUGGCCUUGCUCUUCCCUUUGGGGCUUCCACCAUCUGCAACGACUGCAAUGCCAUCGUACAACCCCAUCCCCGCCUCCCUCAUAUCUCCGGCGAUCCUCUCGCCUCCGCAUUGCACCAAAUUCAACAGCGCUGACACUGCAUUCUCCUUGGUCCUUAUACUUGAUCCCGUGGAAGGAUCGAGCAAGUCCACCAAAAUCCCAAUUCCGGAGACCUUCCGAAACGCGUCUCCACCCUCCUCGCAUCCGGCGAUCUGCGCGAUCACCGCCGUGGCGUCCUCCACGAUUCCGACGCGCCCGUCCUUCACAGCUAGCGUGAACAGCGCCGCCACGGCGCCGAGCCCCACCAUGGAGGCGCGGUUGAGCGGGUAGAGGGAGAUCCCGAAGAGUGCCUUGAGGGCAUCCUUGAUGGACCUUGGCGGCGCGUGGGGGGUACGUAUAAUGUCCACGAGUGCGUAGACGAUGUCGCGCUUUGCUCCGAUGAUGGGGCGGUAAUCAUCAUCAACAAGAAGGCUGUAGAGGGUGGCGGCGCAUGCCUGGAUGGCGGCGGGGGAGGAGGAGGGGGAGCGGAGAGCAUGAGAGAGAGCGUCGAGGAGACCGCGCGUGGACAUGAGGAGUUGGCGGCUGGAGAUGGAGAGGUUGAGGAGGGUGGCGGCAGCGUUUUCUUGUUCGAGGGGAAGGGCGGAGUAAAGAGUUUCGCAAAGGUAGGGAACAGCGCCGGCGUCGGCGAUGAAGCAGCGGCUGUCGGGGUCGUGCUUGGAGAUGAGGCGGAGCUCACAUAGUGCCUCGGUUCUUGUUUGCUGAGAAACGGAGCUGAGCCUGGCGACUAGAGAUCGAGCCGUGCGACGUUUCACUUCCAUUGUUGGGUGGCGCCUGGUGGUUGAAACUUGAAAAGGAAACAAGAGAAAAAAAAUGAGAGAAAUAGCAAGGGAUCGGCCGCAAUUUUUUAACUAGCAUCUUUCACAGCCAUUUCCAUUUUCCACCGCCUCCGCCUCCAACUCAUCGCAGUCUUUUCCCUCCUUUAUCCGCACGCACUUUGACCACUGCUUUGCUUUCCCACUUGCUCACAACAACAACGUCUCGUCAUCUCUAAAUAUUUUUCUUUUCUUCCUUAUAAAUCAUUUUCUAUUUUAAAUUAAAUCAAGUUUAUUAAAAUAUAAAAAGAAAAAAUAUUAUGAAAAACAACUUCAUAUUUAAUAAAAAUUUCAUGAUAUCAAAUUUUAUUUUUAUUUCUUUAUUUGAGUUAAAUUAUAACAAAUAGUUUAAAAACAUAAAAUAAACAAUUCACAUGUAGCUAAUCGAGAUUUUGGUCUGUUCAUAUUUUCUCAAUUCUUAUAUCCACAUCUUAAAUUACGAGUUUCGCAUUUCAUUGGGUAUUUCUUGUUUUUUCCUCACAUCUUUUAUCACACAAUACUAUUUUUAUAAACACAUUUUCAUUUCAAAACUUUUUUUUACUUAAAAUAUUUAUAAAAAUAUUUCUAAUAAUUUUUCUUAUAAGAAUCUAUUAUUACAAUAAUAUAUCAAGUUGAGAAAUAUUCUUUAUAAAAAUAAAUUUAUAUUAUUGGACAAUGUUUGGUUCCCAAAAAAGUAAUAAAAAAAAAAUUUAGAAAAAUUAUUUUUUCAUAUUUGAUUUCAUCACGUGAAAUACAAAAAAAAAAAAUCAAAUAUAAUUAUAAUUUUAUAUAUUUUAAAAUUAUUUAAUCCUUCCAUAAUAAAGGAAAUUAAGUUAAAUAAAUUUUAAAAAAUAUAUAAAAAUAAUUUAUUAAUUUUAAAUUUAUUUUUUAUUUUCAUUCACUUUUUCUUUAUUUUCUUUAUUUUACCUUUUACUUCAAAUUUUAAUAUAGUCUUAAUCGAACACUUCUCAACAAAUAAAAAGGGCUUGGGAGAGUUAUGUUCAUAAAAUAGUAUAUGUAAUUUAAAUAUUGGUUUUUCGAUAUUAAAAUAACAUUUAAUGUUUGUAGAGGGGUGAAGAAGUUUGUUUAAUAAUAAUAAUUGAAGUGUUUCUCCAUCCCUCUUGUUAGGGACUUGUUUAAUAACUGUUUUUGAAAAUAAUUUAAAAAAAUUAUUUUUGAAAAUAGUUUCUAAAAAUUAUUAUCUGAUUUUUUAGAAUAAAAGUUUGUUUAAAAAUCUAAAAUAUUUUUAAUAUUUUUAAAAAUAAAUUUAUAUAGAAUGUUUUAUUUUUAUCGAAAAUUAAGUGAAAAUAAUAUAAAAUAAUUAAAAGAUGUUUUUUAAAAAUAUUUUGUUUCCGUUUUCAAGAAUAGAAAUUAAAAACAUAUUUUUUGUAUUUUUUAUUCGUAAAACAAAAAACCGUUAUAAAAAACAAUUACGUGCCUGCCGGUAUAGGUGGUUGAAACGUGGAAGACAUUUCCACAUUUGUAUAUGUACGGAUGUUGUCAUUCCAUCCGUACUAUACUCAUCUUCAUAGAUUUACAAUUUAGCUCCCUCAUUAACAUUACACAUUAUAAAGUUAAGAAGGUUUUUUUAUUUAGAGGUUGGAGAAUAGUUUAAUAUUGGAAACAUUUUUUUUUUAAAAUCGAAAAAUAAUAAUAAUUUGUAUAUUAUGUAAAAGAACUUUUAGAAACUUUUUAAAACUUGCUAUCUCAAAUUUAAAUUUUUUAAAUAAUUUAAAAAUAUAAGAUAAAUUUAUAUAUAUAUAUAUAUAUAUAUUUAAAAUAUUCUACUUUUUUAAAAAGGUUUUUAAUUUAAAAACAAAAAAAAAGUGUAGUUUUUUUUACAUUUAACAUAUGAAUAUAAACUUAGAAAAUGUACUUAGUAUCGAAGGAUUCUUUAAAGAAUUUGGGUGAUUAGUAAAUCAAUUUAACAACUUAAUGAUUUAAUUUAUAUCAAUUUUAAACAUAAUUUUAUAUUUAAGUAAGAAUAAGUUUAUUAUUUUAAUUUGAUAUUUAAAGUUGUUUUUAAUUUUAAGUUGUGAUAUUAAAUUAUUUAAAAAAAAAAUCGAGAGUGAUAAAAUAAAUGGUGUUUGUUUUUUUAACUAUUUGCUUUAAAUAAUUUGUUUAUAGACUUUAAAUUUGAUUUUUUAUUUUUUUUAUUUAUUAUAAAAUUUUAGUUGAAUAAAAAAAAUCAAAGUAUUUAACUUUUUUUAAAUAGAAAAAAAAUAUUAGUUUUUUUGGUUUUUUAUAUGAUAAUAAAAUAUUAUAAAAACAAAUAAAUUAAUAUUUAAUAUUAUUAAUUACUAUUUAGUUUAAAGUUCUAAAAAAACAAAUCCUACUAAUGAUUUUUAGUAGUUUAUCAAGAAAGGUUGAUAUGGGGGCCACUCGUUCCGAACCCGAUGAUUGUCAUCGUUUGUCAUUCAUAGGUAAGCUCAUUUAUGGAUGAAAAGCUUAAAUGAGGACAAAGAAAUUGGGAGUGUUGGACAGCCCACCUACUACUCCAAGACUCCAAGACCCAGGUGAAUGCAUGCAUUCAGCUUUAGAUUCAUUCAGUGGCUUUUGAAUUAUUAGAUAAGACUCAGUAUAUGCUUUUGUAGUUUUAGGCGUGUUGACAUCUGCCUCUAGAUAAGGUUUGUUUACCGCACCUUAUUAUUAUUAGCUAACGUCCCAUUCACAUUUAUUUCUCCCUUCCACUUUCUAUUUAUUAAAAAUAGUAUUUUUUUUUUUUUGCUUUUUCCAACGUGGCUAUUUUUAUUAAAUAUUAUAUUUUUGAUAUGCUACCAGAAAAUAAUCAAAGGCAUGGUUCGGGAAAAUUAAAAGAAAGAAAAUAAGAAGAGAAAAUGAAGGAAAAUAAAAAAUAAAUUUAAAAGUAAUAAAUUAUUUUUAUAUAUUUUUUUAAAUUUAUUGUACUUAGUCUAUAUUUGGUUCUAGAAAAUUUUGAAGAAAAAUGUAAACGAAAAAAAAUAUAAAGGAAAAGUAGGAUUAAAUAAAAAGUGAAUAAAAUUAAAAAAAAAUUAAAAAUUGGUAAAUUAUUUUUAUUUGUUACUUUAAACUUAUUUUACUUAUUUUAACUCAAUGAUAUAAAAAUUAAAUAAUUUAAAAUUUUACUUAUUUUAACUCAAUGAUAUAAAAAUUAAAUAAUUUAAAAAUAUAUAAGUUUUUAACUAGUUUUAAUUAUAUUUGAUUUACUUUGACAUUUUUAACAGGACAAUCAAAUAUGAAAAAAAUUAUUUUUUUUAUAUAUUUUUUUUUCUUAGUAUUUUUUUUGGGAGAGAAAUAUAACUUUAUUUUUUUCGAUUAUACAAAAAUUCAAUAAUUUUAAAAUGCAUAAAUUUAUAAUUAUAUUUGAUUUUUUUUUUAUAUUUUUUAUAAUGAAACCAAAUAGAAAAAAAACAAUUUUCUUUAGUAAUUUUUUUUCUUUCCUAAAUACUUUCUAGGAAUCAAACAUAACCUAAAAUAAAUAUGAUAAAAAAAAAUUAGGGUUUUGUUGAGGUGAAUGUUAAAUGGUUUUUUAAAUUAAAAAGAAUUUUUAAAAAUAAUAUUUUGUUAUUCUUAAAAAAAGAAGAAUUAUUUGUGAGCUCAAUUUUGAAAAAUAAUUUGCUUUGGUAGAGCAUUGUGUUUUUAUUCUUUUACGAUUAGUUUGACAACUACAUUAGAUAAUAAAAAACUAUUUUAUGUUUUUUGAUCUUAAAAAUAAAAAAUAUGGUGAGAACUUUUUUUAAUUGUUUUCACUUAUUUUAUGAGAAUGAUUUAAAAAAAUAGUCAUAGAAAUACAUAGAAUGAUUAAAAAUAAAGCAUUAUACAUGAAAAUUAUUUUAAAAAAAAUAUUAAAAACAUAUGAAAAAUAUUUCAAAUUUUUAAAUAGAUUUUGUGUUAUAAAACAUUAAAAAACGGUUUUCCAAAACUAUUUUAAAAAAACUACAUUUUAGAACUAUUUUCGAAAACAACCAAACAGAUCUCACUUUUUGAUAACAAAUUAAAUUACCAAAACAACUAUUUUGAGUCCAAAAUUGAUCCAAAUAAGUUUUUGACGGAAUUGGCUUUGGUCUACGGAAUAAUAUUUGAACAUCCGUGGACAUUAUCAAAGGGCUGUUAAAUACAACAUCCGUUUUUCUCCCCCGCACUACCUCUGUUGCACGACCUCGUCCAAACAAAGACAUAAAGUGGGAGUGGUAAUCCCUGUCAAAUUGAGUCCCUAUGCAAUAUAAAUGUUGCCAAAUGACCAUUUUACCCCUUCUCGUGGGCUUUCAUGUCCUGUAAUAUUGGCAUCUUAAAACAAAUUCAAUAAUUUUUAAAACAGAAAUGUCUCUCUUCUCCAAAAACAAAAGAAAAAAGAAAAAUCCGUUUGAUAAGUACAAAAUUAUUUUAUAAUUUUUAAUAUUUUAAAAAUCAAAUCAGAUGGAACCGUUCUGAAAACAUUGGUUUUCACUUAUUAUUUAAAGGUUAUUAUAAAUAAAUAAUUAUAUAAAUAUAUAAAAUAAUUAAAAUAAAGUAAAACAAAUUUUAUUUUUAAAACAUAUUAAAAAAUAUUAAAAUACAUUAAAAACAUUUCAAAUUCCCAAAAACUUGUUUAUUAUACAAAACAUUAUAAAUCAAUUUUUAAAAACUAUUCUCACAAAAUAUUUUAGAGAAUUGUUUUUAAAAAUAGUUAUGAAACACAUUCAAAUAGGACAAUACCAAAUUUUAGAAAACAACUUCUAUACUUAUAUUAGAAUUAUAUUUUCAAAAAAUAAUUUUUUAUUAAUGUAUGAAAAAAUAGUGUGGACUUGAAAAUAGUUUUAAUCCAAUGUAUUACAAAAAUAUCUUUUUGAAAGCAUGUUGUUGUUUUCAAAAUCCGUUGACUUUGCUAGCCCAAAGAAUCGUCCCCCCACUAAAGCUUUUAUUAUGAGGAAACACUUGUUCAAAAUAAAAGCAAGUUGUUCAUCAUUAUACAAUUUGUCUUUGUAGUAAAAGACCCACUAGGUGUAGAAGGCAAGUUGUUCAUUCUCUAUUGACUUAAUUUCUACUGAAUGACCUUUGGGUAUGAGCUUUCUCUUUGUAGUUGAAGUACUCUCAAAGUUUUUGCCGACGUCAUGAGAGCUCUAACCUUAGCAUACCAAUUGUACGGGUUUUUUCAGGUAUAUUUCAUAUCACUCCGAUCCAUCUUGAUAUGAUUUAGAAAAAAAAAUAUAAACGAAUUUGGGAUGGAUUCUAAUUUUUUUUUUAAACCCAUAAAUAAUAUCAAAUAAAAAAUUAUUUUUGUUGAUUUUUUUUUCAUUUUAAAACUUUUUUAAAUAUAUAUAAAAAUAUAACUUUUAAUAAAAAAAUUAUAAAUAUUUAUAAUAUUUAUUAAUUUAUAAAUUGUAUUUAUUUUUAAUAUCAUUUAAAAUUUUAUAAGUAAAAAGUAAAAAUAGAAAGGUUAAAACGUAAGUAGAUGAGUUUGGGAAUUUCCAUGCCUAUCUUGCCUUAUUUAAAUUUGGUUUUUAAAUAAAAAUACAUAGACGGGAUAGAAUUGAGAUAGAUAUAUUCCGUUAUGAACCACCAUAUUAUCAUCUCUGGGUUUUGGCAGGAUGGUUGGUGGCUAUGGUUUGCAAUUGCAAGAUUUAUUUUAUUUUAUUUUUAUUAAUGUGGGAAAUGAAUUAUGAAGUUCCCAUUGCAAGAACAAAAAUUUUUAUUCUUAGAAUUAAUUUUUUAUAUAUAAAAAUACAACAUUUUGUACAAAAAAAAAAGAAUUUAUUUUAUAACUUAAAAAAUCGCUUUAAUUUUUUUUAAAAGUUUGACACAUUAUUUUUAAAAUAAUUUUUAAAACCAUUAAUUUUUUUUAUGUAAAUAUUUAAAAAUUAUUAUUUUAAAAACAGAAAACAAGAAAUAUAUCUAGAAAUGAAUAGAUGUUUGAAAGAGAGGUGCAAUUUAGGUACCUUCCAAUACAAACCAAUUUUAAAUGGGUGUAGGUGUUCCUUUUUGGAAUUUUGGGUGGAAUUAGGCAAAAACAACCAACCUAAACUUGGGUCAGGACAUCCAACAACUUAAACCUAGUUGAAAUCCACUAUUUAACCACUUUAAUUGUAUAUAUAAGUAAUUAUAAGUAAGUAAAUUUUGUAUUAUAUUAUUUAAUUAGUGAUAUUUACACUUUAAUUAAAUUUUAGAAUUUAGUUAAUACUUAAAUAUUUUUUUUAUAUAAAAAUAGAUAGAUUAACUUCUUAUCUAUUAAAAUUAAAUUUUUUAUCUUGUACUAAAUUAUCACAUUAGAUUGAUGGAUCUAAUGUUCAUGAUAUCAAUAGCUAUAUGAUAAAAUAUAUGCUUAUAAGAAUAAACUUUCUUUUGACUUAAUAAUAUCUUAUACACUUUAUUUUUCGAAAGGCAAUGCAAUGCAAUUUGAUCCAACCCAAAUUUUGAUCUGACUAAUCCAUGUGACUUGCUUAACCUGAAUUUAACACAUACAUUUUUUUCUAAUUCAAGCUUAACCUGCUUUCAACUUGAGGUUUGGAAAAAAAAUGUUUGAAUUGAACUUUGAACAUAUGCAAUUUAUUCUUAUAUUGAACUUGGGUUAGUUAUCAAUCCGAUCCAAGCCACUCAAUUUUCAUCCCUAGUUUGAGAAGAAUAGAUGGAUAAAAUAUUGAAUGAAUUGUAUGAAAGAAGAUGAAGGGGCAUGUAACUAAUUUGGCUUAUUUUAUUUAUUUAUUUAUUUAACAAUUAAAAAAUAGAAUUAAAAAUUAUAUAAAGAUUGAGAGGGUAGAAAUGGAGAUGCUUGAAAGUUAUAUUUUGGCAGUUCAACUUCCCUUCUCUUUCUUUUAUUUUAUUUGAAUUAAAUUAUGUAAAAUGGCUUUAUGCAAAUAGCCUUUGUAUGUGUGAACAUUAUAUGUCGUCCUACAUUGUUGGCUACAUGUAAGCAUGUAAGUGGGAGAAUCCCAAAUUAAAUUCACUUAAGUCCCAUCAUCACUGAUUACCCAAACAAUUAAAAAAUAAAAUCUGGGUCCCAUCCGAAAGUGACCUUAGACAAAAAAAAUAAACAAAACUAAAAUUAAAAAAAGAAAAAACCGAAAAAAAAAAAACAAGUAAUUAAACCUUAAAUUGAUGUUUGAUACAUUUUCUAUUUUAUUUUUAAAAUUAUAAAUUUUUAUUUAAAAUAUAAGAACUUAAAAUUUCUGUGUUUUUUAAAAUCACAUUAUGACGUCGCUCUUCGCGUUUUACAAUAUUUGAAAGGAAGACCUAGCUAGGGCUUGUUGUUCCUAGCCCAAAAUGAUUUGAAGUUUAUUAUAUUUUGUGAUGUGGAUUGGGUUUGUUGUCUUACUAUGAGAAAGUUUAUUAUAAGAUGUUGUGUUUUUCUUUGAAAGUCACUUGUCUCUUGAGAGACUAAGAAGCAAACCACUGUAUCCUGCUCCUCAAUAGAAGCAAAGUAUAGAGCCAUGACAUAUAUCACUAGCGAGUUCACUUCGUUGAGAUGCUAACUUGGGAGUUGCAAAGAUGCAUUGUGAUAAUCGUGUAGUAUGCAUAUAGUAGUAAACCCCGUAUUUCAUGAGCGAACAAAACACAUUGAGUUAGAUUGUCAUUUGGUUAGAGAGAAAAUUCAAUUUGAAGAUAUGUAUACCAUUUUCACCUCUUCUCAUCUUCAAGUUGUAGACAUUUUUACCAAACGUUUGUGAACAACUCUGUUUCAUUCUCAUCAUUAUAAGUUACACAUCAUCCAUAUUCAUGCUCCAACUUGAAGAGGGUAUUAAAAGUGAGAUAGAAAGAAAAUCAAAUCAUAUUUCCAAAUGAGUAAAAUUCAGAGUUGAACAUUUGUUUCCCAUUUAAUGGUUGAUUUUGGGGGAUUUACCUUGAUUUGCUCUAAUUAUUUCUAUUAAUUUUUUUUUUUUAUGAUUGUUGACUUAACCAAAAGUAUAACAUUAUCUUAUAUUUAUUUUGGAGUCAUUCUUUGAUAGCUCUAUAAUAGUGAAAAAAAAAAUUUUCUCCCCUUCGUGGAUGUAAGCAAAUUGUCGAACCACAUUAUAUCCUUCUGUCAUCUUCUACUUUCUUUUCUAUGCUUUUAACUUGUUAUUCUAUUUUCAUCUUUCAAUUUUACACUUUCAAAUAAGUUUUACUUAAAAUAAAAAUAAACUUGAGUGAAAUGUCAUGGGUGCUAUAGGUGAUUUCAUAUUCUAUUUGGUGAUGCAUGUGAUAUAUUUUAUGUUCAUUCUUGUACACUAACCUCAUUUCAUGAUAGCACAUUAUUCGCUUGUUGCUAAGGUACGCACCCACUCUCACUCUGACCAUUCUCUACGCUUUGUUUUGGCUCCCAAUGUAUGAUCAUCUUUUGGUAUCCACGUUUAAUCAACCAAUUAUCACAGGUACUUCAUUUUAUUAGUAGAGACUCAUUUUUAGCAACUUAGAAUGAUGAUAUGGUUUUUACCGUACCUUCCCAAAUAGUAACCUGACCCUCGAGCCCCGAUUUGGUUUUUCGCAUAUCACAUUUUCCAAAUAAGCAGUCGCACUUAGGGUUUUCUUUCUUAUUUUAUUUACCAUUUAAAAAUAAAACAAAAAUAAGUCGCAACUCCAAGUCAUUUUCUUAAUAAAUAAAUCAUUUUUCAAAUAAAAAGCGAGUUUUGUCAUCGAGUGGGAACGCAUCAAGCGAAAAUACGGGGUCCACAAUAUUGAAAAAUAUUAAAAUACAUUAAAAACAUUUCAAAUUCCCAAAAACUUGUUUAUUAUACAAAACAUUAUAAAUCAGUUUUUAAAAACUAUUCUCACAAAAUAUUUUACAUAAUUGUUUUUGAAAAUAGUUAUGAAACACAUUCUAAAAUAGGACAAUACCAAAUUUUAAAAAACAACUUCUAUACUUAUAUUAUAAUUAUAUUUUCAAAAAAUAAUUUUUUUAUUAAUGUAUGAAAAAAUAGUGUGUACUUGAAAAUAGUUUUAAACCAAUGUAUUACAAAAAUAUCUUUUUGAAAGUAUGUUGUUGUUUUCAAAAUCCGUUGACUUUGCUAGCCCAAAGAAUCGUCCCCCCACUAAAGCUUUUAUUAUGAGGAAACACUUCUUCCAAAUAAAAGCAAGUUGUUCAUCAUUAUACAAUUUGUCUUUGUAGUAAAAGACCCACUAGGUGUAGAAGGCAAGUUGUUCAUUCUCUAUUGACUUAAUUUCUACUGAAUGACCUUUGGGUAUGAGCUUUCUCUUUGUAGUUGAAGUACUCUCAAAGUUUUUGCCGAAGUCAUGAGAGCUCUAACCUUGGCAUACCAAUUGAACGGGUUUUUUCGGGUAUAUUUCAUGUCACUCCAAUUCAUCUUGAUAUGAUUUAAAAAAAAUAUAUAUAAACGAAUUUGGGAUGGAUUCUAAAUUUUUUUUUAAACCCAUAAAUAAUAUCAAAUAAAAAUUUAUUUUUGUCGAUUUUUUUUUUAUUUUAAAACUUUUUUUAAUAUAUAUAAAAAUAUUACUUUUAAUAAAAAAAAUUAUAAAUAUUUAUAAUAUUUAUUAAUUUAUAAAUUGUAUUUAUUUUUAAUAUCAUUUAAAAUUUUAUAAGUAAAAAGUAAAAAUAGAAAGGUUAAAGCGUAAGUAGAUGAGUUUGAGAAUUUCUACGCCUAUCUUGCCUUAUUUAAAUUUGGUUUUUAAAUAAAAAUAAGAAUAAAAAUAAAAAGAUGAGAUAUGAACCACCAUAUUAUCAUCCCUCGGUUUUGGCAGGAUGGUUGGUGGCUAUGAUUUGCAAUUGCAAGAAUUUUAUUUUAUUUUUAUUGGCAUGGGAAAUGAAUUAUGAAGUUCCCAUUGCAAGAACAAAAAUUUUAAUUUUUAGAAUUAAUUUUUUUAUAUAUAAAAAUACAACAUUUUGUACAAAAAAAAAAUGAAUUUAUUUUAAAACUUAAAAAAUCACUUUAAUUUUUUUUAAAAAAAUUGAGGCAUUAUUUUUAAAACCAUUAAUUUUUUUAAUGUAAAUAUUUAAAAAUUAUUAUUUUAAAACAGAAAACAAGAAAUAUAUCGUGAAAUGAAUGGAUGUUUGAAAGAGAGGUGCAAUUUAGGUACCUUCCAAUACAAACCAAUUUUAAAUGGGUUUAGGUGGUCCAUUUUGGAAUUUUGGGUGGACUUACCCAAAAACAACCAACCUAACCUUGGGUUAGGACAUUCAACAAUUUAAGCCUAGUUGAAAUCCAAUAUUUAACCACUUUAAUUGUAUAUAUAAGUAAUUAAAUUUUGUAUUAUAUUAUUUAAUUAAUGAUAUUUACACUUUAAUUAAAUUUUAGAAUUUAAUUAAUACUUAAAUAAUUUUUUAUAUAUAAAAAUAGAUAGAUUAACUUCCUAUCUAUUAAAAUUAAAUUUUUUAUCUUGUACUAAAUUAUUGCAUUAGAUUGAUGGAUCUGAUGUUCAUGAGAUCAAUAGCUAUACAAUAAAAUAUAUACUUUCAUGGAUAAAUUUUCUUUUGACUUAUUAAUAUCUUAUACACUUUAUUUUUUCGAAUCAACUUGCCUAACCCGAACUUAACAUAUACAUUUUUCUCUAAUUUAAGCUUAACCCGCUUUCAACUUGAGGUUUGGAAAAAAAUGUUUGAAUUGAACUUUGAGUUAUAAAUCGUGUUUGAUUGAACUUUGAACAUAUACAAUUCAUUCUUAUAUUGAACUUGAGUUAAUUAUCAAUCCGAUCCAAGCCACUCAAUUUACAUCCCUAGUUUGAAAAGAAUAAAUGGGUAAAAUAUUGAAUGAAUUGUAUGAAAGAAGAUGAAGGAGCAUGUAACUAAUUUCGCUUAUUUUAUUUAUUUAUUUAUUUAACAAUUAAAAAAUAGAAUUAAAAUUAUAUAAAGAUUGAGAGGGUAGAAAUGGAGAUGCUUGAAAGUUAUAUUUUGGCAGUUCAACUUACCUUCUCUCUUUUAUUUUAUUUGAAUUAAAUUAUGUAGAUGGCUUUAUGCAAAUGACCUUUGUAUGUUUCAACAUUAUAUGUCGUCCUACAUUGUUGGCUACAUGUAAGUAUGUAAGUGGGAGAAUCCCAAAUUAAAUUCACUUAAGUCCCAUCGUCACUGAUUACCCAAAACAAUUAAAAAAUAAAAUCUGGGUCCAAUCCGAAAGUGACUUUAGACAAAAAAUAAACAAAACUAAAAUUAAAAAAAAAAAGAAAAAAAGAAGAAGAAAAAACCAAAAAAAAAAAAAAAACCAAGUAAUGAAACCUUAAAUUGAUGUUUGAUACAUUUUCUAUUUUAUUUUUAAAAUUGUAAAUUUUUAUUUAAAAUAUAAGAACUUAAAGUUUGUGUGUUUUUUAAAAUCACAUUGUCUUCACGUUUUUCAAGGCCUAGGUAGGGCUUGUUGUUUCUAACCCAAAAUGAUUUGAAGUUUAUUGGAUUUUGUGAUGUGGAUUCUGUUAGUUGUCCUACUAUGAGAAAGUCUACAAUAGAAUGUUGUGUUUUUUUUAUGAAAAAGUCUACAAUAGGAUGUUGUGUUUUUCUUGGAAAGUCACUCAUCUCUUGAGAGACUAAGAAGCAAACCACUAUAUCCCGCUCCUCGAUAGAAGUAAAGUAUAGAGCCAUUACAUCCAUCACUAGCCAGUUCACUUGGUUGAGAUACUAACUUGGGAGUUGCAACGAUGCAUUGUGAUAAUCAUGUAGCUUGCAUAUAGUAGUAAACCUCGCAUUUCAUGAGCAAACAAAACACAUUGAGUUAGAUUGUCAUCUGGUUAGAGAGAAAAUUCAAUUUGAAGAUGUGUAUACCAUUUUCACCCCUUUUCAUAUUCAAGUUAUAGACAUUUUUACCAAACCUUUGUGAACAACUCUAUUUCAUUCUCAUCAUUAUAAGUUGAGCAUUCUCCAUAUUCAUGCUCCAACUUGAAGAGGGUAUUAAAAGUGAGAUAGAAAGAAAAUCAAAUCAUAUUUCCAAAUGAGUAAGAUACAAAGUUGAAUAUUUCUUUCCCAUUUAAUAGUUGAUUUAGGGGGAUUUAUCUUGAUUUGCUCUAAUUAUUUCUAUUAAAUUUUUUUUUGUGAUUGUUGACUUAACCAAAAGUGUAAUAGUGAAAAUUUAUUUUUUCUCCCUUUCAUGGAUGUAACCACAUUAUAUCAUUCUGUCAUCUUUUACUUUCUUUUCUAUGCUUUUUAACUUGUUUUUCUACUUUCAUCUUUCAAUUUUACACUUUCAACUUGAGAUGUGGAAAAAAAGUUUGAAUUAAGUUCAAAUUGAAAAUUUUGAAUUAUAAAUAAAAAACAUAUUUAAAAAUAUUAAAAACAAAUUAAAAAUUAUUUAAAAAAAAACAGUUAGGAAACAGACUUGGUAGUUCAACUCUCCUUCUCUUUCUUUUAUUUUAUUUGAAUUAAAUAAUGUAAAAUGGCUUUAUGCAAAUGGCCUUUUCAACAUCAUAUGUUGUCCUAUGUUGGCUACAUGUAAGUAUGUAAGAGGAUGAAUCCCAAAUUAACUUCACUUAAGUCCCAUCAUCAACUAAAAAUUAAAAUCUGGGUCUGAUCCGAAAGUGACCUUAGACCAAAAAUAAACAAAACUAAUUUUUUUUUUUUAAAAAAAGAAGAAAAAUCCAAAAACUAAAAACAAACAAACAAAACAAAACAAAAUAAAGUAAUUAAACCUUAAAUUGAUGUUUGAUACAUUUUCUAUUUAUUAUUAUUAUUAUUAUUAUUAUUAUUAUUAUUAUUAUGAUUAUUAACGUCUAGAGGCUGAAGGCAAAACACAAGUCAAAAGUGAUAUUAUAUAAUGGAUUUGUUUUUCUUUCUUCUUCGUUUUUGGCUAAAUAAUAUCAUUUCUUAUGUUUCACAAAGCAAUUGACAACAUCUUAAUCUGCAGCCGAGUAAGCAACAACAAUGUCUAUACUAAUAAAGAACAUAAAAGAUUACCUACCUCUUGACUAUUGAAAUUGUUUCAAUAAAUUAUCACUGAUAAUUGGAGAGGGACAUCCUUGGUUUGUAAGCAAUCAUAACAAAAAUCUAUUGAUGACUUUUAUUAGCAAGUUCUAUAUAAAGUACUUGCUAAGAAUAUGGUGACUAAUCGUAUUCAUGAUAUGUAAAUACGUUUGCUUUCAAAAUAUAUUGUGUUUGGUAUGUGGGAAUGUAAAUGAAAAUAAGAGGAGAAGAAACAAAAUCUUUUAGUUUCCAUAAAUUUUAUUUUUAUUCUUAUUCUUAUUUUAGAAAAUAAUUUAAAUACACUAAUAAAUAAGAAUAAAAUUGAUUUUUCAUUCUCAUUCUUUAAUAUCACGUUAUAUUACUAAGUAAACUUAAAGUAUUCAUAUAAUAUAACAAGGGAUGAAUUGAGUAGAUAAUUUUAAUAUUUCUUUUUAUAUACUCAUCAUGGGUAGGUACCAAAGAAUUAUUUUGGACCAUUGGAUACGCUAGAUAGGAUCUUGAUCAUUCAUUUUAAUAGGUUUUAUUUAAUUUUUUAUUAUAUUUUAUACAUGUGGCAAUAUCCUAUUAAAUGAUGUGUGGAGGUAUGGUAGCGAAAAAUUGUUUUUUGGGUACCAUAGUUUGACCUCAUCCCAACUCUUAAAUUUGUUUUCUAGGUUCAUCAAUAUUGAAUCAAUCAAACCCAUUUAACACUUGUUCUACUUUUGGGAGAUCAUGCAUGAUGUCAUCACAUAUGUUAAUUUUUCAUAUAUAAAUGUACUUAGUGUUUCUCCUUCGUAAAGAAUUUCCCCACUAUCCUAAUCUUAAAAAAUUAUUACUAAAUUGUAUCUUUUUAAAAAUUAUUCUAGUUAACAAUGAAAUUAUGAAAACAAUAAACCCCUAUAAAAUAAAGUAAACAAUGAGGAGAGGAGGAAGAAAAGGGAAACUCCAAUUGAGAUACUUCAACAUAAAUUUAUCUACCUCCAUGACUUCUAAAAUUUAACCCAAGCUUCACUAUGUAAGUAUCCUUCAAACCAAAAACUUUUUUAAUGUAUGCUUUGUUUCUUAGUAUUAAUGGACUUUUACAAUAUUUCAAGGAUUCUUUCCUAAUAUUCCACCACUCCCGAGCACAAGAGUAGUAAAUGUAUCUUGAAGAAAAUAUAGGAUUAACUUUGGAAAAUGGUUACAAGUGAAAGAGUAGCUAGUCUUCAAGGGUGGACUUAGCAAGGUUUGCAAGUUUGGAAUAAUUACACCAAAAAGUGAUUAAAAGUCUAAAGGUUUGUUUGACAACUGUUUGCGAGAAUAAAACACGUUUUACAAACAAAAAUUAUUUUUCGAUUUUUAGUUUUUAAUAAUAGAAAAUAUAGUAUUUUUAGAUAUCAUAUUUUAUUUUAUUUUUUUUAAUUAUUUUCUCUUAUUUUUUUAUAAUUGUUUAAAAAAAAUAAUUAUACAAACAUAUAAAAUAAUUAAAAAUAAAAUAAUUGAUAUAAAAAUUAUUUUUUAAACAUAUUUAAAAUAUGUUUAAAAUAUUUUAGGUUUUCAAACAAACUUUUAUUCUACAAAACAUUAAAAUACAAUUUUCAAAAAUUGUUUUCGAAAACAAUUACCAAAUAAGGACCAAGAUUUCAUUAGAAUGAUAUGCAAGUUGGAGGUGAUUCAUAAAUGGUGUUUGAAAGCUUUAUUUGAGAUUUUUAAUAAUAUGCAACUAGUCUAUCAUGCCAUAAGCCACAAAAGUCAACCAUAUAUAUAAAUAGAAGAACUAGAAACAUUCGCAUCCAUAAUUUAAGAAAUGUUUAAUAUGAACAAGUAUUGGUUACAACCGCAAAGUGUUUAAAAACGAAAGCGUAAGACAAAAAGUGUUUUUGUAUCAUUGAGGAAACAUAAACUUCAAAGUGUUGAGGUGUUCGCCUUUUGAGUUCCUCAUUUAUAUAAUUAAUAAAUAUUUAAAAAUAAUAUAUAAUAUAUUAAAAAUAAAACUAAAAUAGAAUAAAUGAAAAACUUGAUAACAAGUACAUGAGAAUUAUAAAAAAGCAUACUAAUAAUUUCAUACUUUCACAAAAAAUCUUAACUAACUCACAAAAUAGCAAAUAGAGUCAAACACAUAUGACUAAACUUUUUCAACUUAACUCCUCUCCAAUGCCAUCAUUAUUACCGUCAUUCAAUGUAUCAAUAAUAGAAAAUUUUCAACUAUCAAAUCCUCUUAUUUCAUCUGUCAAAUUUAACUUCUUUUCUUUAUCUUGCCUUUACUUUUACCUAGCAUAAAAUAUAAAUUAGGUGAAAAUAUUACAAGUUCAUUAAUAAAUUUAAUCAAAUUUAUAAUUUAAAUUUUUUAGUACUUACUUGUAAUUUCAUCGUGUUUUCUUUUUUAGAAAUGUGAAGAAACCAUGUUGUCUAAUGGUGCUUGAGCCUCUUAGUUUUUGAAUGACACAAUUUUAAUGACAUCACCAUUUAAUAAUUUAUUAUCUUCAAACCAACAAAGAUCAAGCAAAAGAAAGGAAGUUGAUUUCUCUAUAAUUCAUUCAUCAUCCGAAAUAUGAUUGAGCAUCACUUGCAUGGACCUCUAUUUUCUCUUUACAAUCCAAUGGGCCUAGAUAGCGAGUUUCAAUUUAUAAUCUUUUAGGUCAUCUUUGAAAUGUUGAAAUAGAGAAUGAGAAAUCAAUUCUAUUCUCAUUCGUCAGUGUGUUUUGAUUAUUUUUUAAAUAAUGAAAAGAAUAUAAAGUUCAUUGUUAUGGAAACCAAAUCCUACUUUUGCUAGGAUUUUGAUUUUGAUUUUUUUUUUCAUAUAGGAUUAUGAUUCAAUUCAUUCUUAUCAUAUUUUCAUUCAUAUUCCUACUUAUCAAACACACUCUUAGCUUUAUGUCUUUUCAAAGUGGGUGUAGACCGUCCAUUUUGUACUUGUAGCACAUGUUUUGAAUGCAUACUUGGUGCCCUUUCUCUUUUCACCCUUGUAUAGUAUGCAUGUAGGCUCUUCUUUUGCUUAUUUGUUCUUGUACUAGUUAGUGGUCCAAACGAUAUUCGACUUUAAAACUAAUUUUUAACCUACUUUUAGAGACCUUUUAGAGGAAGUUUUGAAUUCACAGUGCGACUUUAGUGGUACCCUAAGAGCCCUUAAAGUUUCAAUGAGUUUGGAGGUUGAAUAGGGUUUCAUCAAUGUGAAACUCUUAUACCCCUUUUCGGUGCCUUUUUUCUUGCCUAACUUUUUUAAUCCUUUUUUGAGUUGGUUUUAUGAGAUUUUGUGUGCCUAAACUUGGGGCUUUGGGUCUCCUUGGUUGGGUUUUUAUUUGAGAAAGUUUUAAAGAGAAAUUUAGGCUUUGGUGGAGAUAAUGACAUGUGUCAAAAUCUCUACCCUCCCUUGGCAUAUAAAUAUGAGUCUUGAGGUUCAUUUUGAUAGACUCUAAUUUUUAAGGGAAAACUCUAUCCAUUUUGAAAGAGACAUGAAAGAGAAAAGACUUGAAGAUUUGAAGGCAAGCUUAGCUAUGUGAAAACACUUUUGCAUACUAGAAGCCAAAUAUUGUAUUUGGGGAGGAGUUUCUCAGGUAAGUCAUUCAUGAUUCUAAUUCAGUUUGUUUUCAUUCAUUUAUUGGAUCUUUAGAUGAUGAGUAUAUGAGUUAUGCAUAUUAAAAGAUUGUUUGGUUGGCUAUGUUAUUUUUCAUAUUUGGAUCCAAAUUUGAUUUUCUUCUUUCUUUUUGCUUUGAGUGCUUAUCAUAUGUUUGUAUAUAUGUCAUCAUCUCCAAAUGACAUAGUGCUUAGGUGUUGCUUAAGUCUUUCUUGACUUUUUUUGUUCAAUUCUUGGACUUAUUUAUUUAUUUAUUUUUUUGUAUUUUUGUUUUUUGUUUUUUGAGCCUAUUGAGUUUAAAAGCAUAGUAUUAGGCUCAUCUUGAUUUGUGAUUUGUGGUUUUCCUUUAUUUGCCUAUUGUGAGUUUCAAUUUUCUUUGGAUUUAAUGAUUUUUGGAGAUGUCCUCAAUUGAUUUGAAAAGGAAGAUUGAGAUCCUUAUGUAUUUGAUGUUUUGUUUACCCAUAGUACUUAAAGCCUUUUUUGUUAUUUUGUAGUUUCCUUUUCAAAACUAAUUGUUAAGUCUUGUUUUAAACUUAUUUUUAAUUAAAUUUCAAGCUUACUUUGGUAAGUCCAUUUCAUGGCUAAAGUUUAGGUUCAUAGCCAUGGGCUUUAACUUUACCAUUUUGCUUAAAAACAUAACUAAUUGCUCUUAUUUUUUGUCAUUUUUAAAGAUUUUCAAAUUUGAUUUUUAUGAGUCAUUUUUUAGUGCUUAUGAAUAUCAUUUUACAAUCAUUAGGAGGCUUGAAUUCAUAACUAAUUUAUGGUUAUUAAUGGUUUUCGCAUGUUUUGGCAUGCAUAGCUUGAAUUUACAUGAGAGCAUGCUUUUUUAUAUAUGUUUUUGUGUGUGUUUCAUCCUCUUUUUCUUAAAUAUGAGUGUCAACUUAACUUUUAGCCUAUAAAUAGAGCAUUAGAGUUCUUUUCUAAGAGUUUUGGAUUUAUUAGGUGUUCUUGGAUUUUCUUGGGGAAAGAAGAUAAUAUUAAAGAUUCUCAAUUUAUUUUCUUUAUUUUAAUCAAUUGUUUCUAAUUUCUUUUAUUCAAAAAUGAUUAUUUAUUUUUCUUUUGUGGAUUGUGUGAAUGAAAUCACCACCAUGAGAGACUAAAAAACUAUCUUAGAGUGUGAAACAUGAAAACUUAGGGUUAGAAACAAGGGAAAACAAUGGGUAAAAUCGAACUAAAAAUGAAAUGAAUGAAAGGAUUGUCCAUUCAUUGAUACUAAAGAUUUUUAGUAAUUAUUAAUCCCUAAUUAUUUGAGGUUUUGUUAUUGUUAUCUAUCCUAAAACAAAUCUACAUAGAGUAGUAAAAGCUUAAAUCCUAAACCUAAACUCAAUUUUCAUGCCCAUUUAUCUACUGGUAUUUCAAUAAUGAAAUAAAAUAUUAAAAGUUGGGAUAUAGAUGCAAUCCCGAGUUAUGGAAUUUAGGUUGAUCUCAUUGAACCCCACAUUUUGAAUACCCUAGAGUAAUUAAAAUUAAUACCCUUUUUUUGUUCGAGGCCCUAUACUCAAAGUUAGACUGUGAAACCUCAAUCUUGAAUAAUUUGAAUUAGAAAUUAAUAAUUCUUUUACUAUUUAUUUAAGUGUAUUUUUAUUAAACUCAAUUUUAUUCAAAUCAAUUUUUCAUUUCAAUUCAAGAAAUUACAUAAAAAAAAUAAAUUAUUUAAAUCUAGUUUGACAACUUCCAUAUGCUAGUCCUUGAUAAUGAUAUAUGGAGUACUACAAAAGUUGUAGUGACUCUUUCUUUGGUUUUUCUUGGUAGAAGUUGUUAUAUAAAAAAGGCUUAGGAUUUUAGACAAUAGAGAAUUGUGGUCAGCUGUUUUUUUAGUUAUGGAAUGCUUCUUGAGAUCUAUACCAUUUGGUGUAUGUUUGAGAUCCUUUGACUUUGAAUUGUAUUUUGGACAUCUUAUGCAUGUCAAAAAUUUAUUGCCCUGAUUUUUACCUCACCUCUAACUUUGUUAAAUAAAUUCAUCUUUUACAUACUAACACAUUCUCCUAUUUUGCACCUCUUGUACACCCUUUUACCAUUUAAAAUGAAUUUAUUUUAGAAGUGCAUAUAUGUUGUCUUGAUGAUAUGUUUAUAUAAAUUAGUUUCAUUUGAUAUCAGCUUAACCAUUUUUUAUCUGUAAUUUGAAUUACAAAUAUCCUGUACAUAUUGGAUGAUCAUUGCUUUGAUGAUAGAUUUCUUCUUAUAUUUUUAAAAUAACUCAUUCUAUCAUGUGUAAGCUCAUUACCCCUAUUUUGGGCAUUUGUAAGGUACAUUCCAUUUUCCCUUUGAUUGUUUAAUUUCUUUACUAAGUUUGUUAUACUCUUGGGUAAUCUCUAUUUAUUUAGCUUUGAUCCUAUGAUCUUCAAGUGUACACAAUUUAUAUAUUCAUCAUCAUUUUCUUGUUCCUUAUCGUCAUGCCUUGUAAUGUAUUUUGCUCUUAUUGUUUCUCAAUAUUUAUAAUCUACUACUUAAUUGUCAUAGUUUCCUCUAUUUGUUUAGUAGAAACCUUUUUAAGCUUUAAAGGGGUAUUAUCUUAUGAUAUCUUCUUAAGAAGUAAAUUGACCAUCAGAUUUAGGUUCGGUUUUUUACAAACAUGUUUUUCCUUAAAAAAAUAAUGAGUUAUUUUAGGGUUUUAUUUCUUAUUUUGUUUUUCCUUUAAAAAUAAAUAAAAAUAAGUGACAACUCUAGCUUUUCAAAAAUAUACUUUUCACAAUAAAAACGAGUCUUAUUGUCAAGCGGAGAUGUACGUGAAAAAUGUGAGUGCAUAGUGAGACAAAUAAAAACCCAAAUAAUCUUCAUAUGGUUAUUGAACUCGUUUCUUUAUAUUAACUUGCAAAAAUUCUAAUUAUGCUUACAAAUUUGGAGGUGAUAUUUGGUUUUUGGAGAGUACUGAGGAAGAAAAAAAUAUUAAAAAAAUUAUUUUCAUAUAUUUGGUUUUUCUAUUAAAAAUAUUAAAAAAAUCAAAUAUAAUUAAAAUUAGUAGAUACAUUUUCAAAUUAUUUAAUCUUUAUACAAAAAAAGUAAAAUAAGAUAAAUAAGUUUGAAAUAACCUAUAAAAUAAUUUAUUAAUUUUAAAUUUAUUUUAAAUUUAAUUUUUUUCUUUCCUUCAAAUUUUCUAACAACCAAACAUGGCUGCACACGGAAUCGAAUGCAAAAUACUGAGGGUGGGUCAAGAGUCAAGAGUGGGAUCGGUUCAUUUUGAAAGUGAAGUAUUUUCAUAUACUUUAGAAAUUGACAAAACCUUGAUAUGCAGCAGCUGAAUAAUCAACAAUGGUGUCUCCACACUAAUACUGAAAAUGCAAGAUUACCUGCCAAUUGACCAAAGAAGUUGUUUCAAUAAGUUUUGGACAUGGUCAAUUCAUUUGAUGGAGCCAGUCCCCCUACCAAUUCAUUUGAUAAUAAUAUCUUAGGAGAGGCCAAGUGAAGCCCAGUCCCAACAGCCAAUUUGGGUAGCCCAUCCCAGGCCCACCAGGCAGCAACUGGUAGAUUUGGGCCUCACAAUUCCUGAAUUCUGAUUUCUAAGCCCAGUUGGGUUGAAAGUUUUGACUUCUCUCAUUUUGGAGUUUGCUUCAAAUUCAAAAUACUAACAACAUAAAAAAUAAUUAAUAUAAAAAUAAAAAAGGUUAUUUUUAUAAACACUAAAGAGUUUGUUUUGCCGUAUGAUUUAAAAACAGUUUUCUAUUUUUAAAAAUAGAAAAUUAUUUUUAAAAUUUUUUAAUAUUAUUUAGCCAUUGUUAUUUAAAAAUAAUUUUUUUUUUUUUUUUAAAAAUGAACUCGUUUAAUCAUGUUUUUUGAAACUUAUUUUUAAAAAUUAUUUUUAAAUUAAAAAAUAAAAAAUAGUUUUUAAAAACAAGUUUAAGAAAACAUGGUGAUGGCCAUGUCCAAACGGAACUUCGGUAUUUUAUGUUUUAAAAAAUUACAACAAUGAGAUGUGGUCAUAUAGGGGCCUUAAGCAUUAAAAAUUGGAUAAGGGUUUGGUGGGUUUGGUCCAGGGAAGCAAACACAAUAAAGAAGCUUAAUGUCUUUGUUGGGGGUGUCAGAGAAUAAGUGUACACAGGCUAACCAAAUUAGGCAUCACAAGUCAACUUCAUGACCACACACCAUGGGCUCUUGCCGACAACAUUAGGAAUAAUAAUUGGAAAAAUUCUAUGACAUCAAUGUGGAAUUCACCGUAGGGAAAAAGAGCAUCCUCACCUCAGCCUACCUUCAUAAGAAUAAGUUGAGCCUCCCCAACUAUGUCCUCUCUCGUAUUUUUCGAAGAAGAGGGAGAACGAUUCUUUCUCCCUUGUUCUCAUCAUACCCUCUCAAGAAUUCUAUCCAAACAUAUUUGUCAAAUAAAGAGGUUCUUUAGGUGUCAUUCUAUCAUCUUUAAGGUAUCUAAAUAAUUUUAUCUUCUUUAGGGUAUAAUCUUGAGUCAUUUGUAGUAGAUGAAAAAUAUAUCAAAUAUAUGGAGUUUCUUUUUGUAUAUUAUAUAGAUGAUCUGAUCCAUAAGGAUUAUGAUUGAGAAUUGUUUGAUCGUCUUUCUCCGAGGAAGAGACGAAACAUAAUCAACUUGAAUUCAAGAUAGCUAUUCAAAAUCUUAGUGAAAUACUAAAUUUGUUAUCUCAUCUGUUUCGUGAAAAAAAAUACCAAUUGAAGUGGAGAGUUUCUUCAAAUAACAAGGAGUUGGGUUAACUAUUCAAUCAAAUGAUAUUGAGCAUGUUUCUCACCUCUUCUCAAGAGAAAAGUGGGUUAUUUCUUUGCAAAAUUAUGCUCAAUUUCAUAUGUGACAAUUCUACCAAGAUCUUUUCAUUAAUUGGGGGAAAAAUCCACACGAAUCGGAUUUUUUGAAGAAGGUAUUGAGAGAGAAUUGAAUUUGGUUAGAUAAUGUGUGAUUGGUAAAUAAGGAGUGGUAUUUUAGCAAGGUACAAAAUAGUCAAAUAUUCAAUAUAUGAAAGUACAAAAUUUAACUCGUGGCAUCUUUGGAGAUGCAUCACGAUGGUCCAUAACAAUAGCGAAUAUCAGUAUAGAAGUUAAAACCACCGCAAUGCACAGGAAUAUCAUAAUUUAUAGAUUUGAGAGACAGUAUUGAAAAACUUGAAACCCCUGCAGGAGCCACGUGACAUUGUACGACACCCUAAACUAUUCCAAUUUCCACUUCAUAAAAAUAAGAAGAGAGAGAGAGAGAAAAGUACACAAACACCCACAACCGGCGCCCACGCCCGACGCCCGUGACAUCUUCAACUACAGAACAAAACUCACCAACCAGACCCCAACUCACUCCUUUUUCGACAAGUCAAGGCAAAAUACCUAUCACAACACCGACAUCUAAUCAAAUGGGCUAAGUGGGUCAGGUGCACAGUUCACGGGCGACGCCCAGCCUUGAAUUGGGGACAUCGUAGAGGAGCCUGUGGUUCUGCUGCUGCAAGUUGGCAAUGACGUUCAGCACCGAGUUCACGUUGUCAGGGGCGGCUGCCAUGGCCAGGCAGGUCGUGCUGCCGGCGGUGCUGUGAAUCAGCAGGUUAUCCGGUGGCAGCGUCACGUUCAUGCCCGUGAACAUGAAGGUUAUCGUGGGCGCUGCUAUGGGCACCGUGUAGCAUGUGUCGAAUCCCCCCAGUGACGUUACUGUCAAGUUCCUCCCCACCCUGUUUCUGAACGCGUCUCUCACUGCUAUGUACGCCGGCGUUACGAGCCUCGUGAACACCGUCCCUGGUUCACAACCCUCUUUGUAAUUAUACUUCCAUUCGUUUACAAAACUAAAUCAUUCCUUAAUUCCCUUUCUUCAGUUAUAAUUCAAAAUUUUCAAUUUUAAAUGAAAAUGAUAAGUUCACUAUAGUUAAUUUCUUCGAAUUGUUUUCCGACGGAUAUCACAAAAUAUCAUAUUUAUCGACCGAUAUUAUAUCCGAAAAAGCAAUUCGAUAAAUCUAACUAAAGUACUCGGCAUUACUCACUAUUAAAAUAAAAUGUUUAAAUUUUAAACCAUUAAUUAUGUUAAUUUUUUUUAUCACUUCAUGUGAUAGGUGAUUGUUAAAGGUCUUUUAAUGAUUACCUAUCACAUCAAUGAGAUAUAGAAUAUGAUAAAGUAUGGCAAUAAUGUUAAUAAGUAUUAACAUUAAUACCUAUAUUGUAUAUGCAGUAGUGUUUACAAUUUUUUUAAGUAUGGAGGAAAAUUAACUAGAGAAAUAAAGAUUUUGUGAAUAGAAAAGGUUACCGGAGUCAAAGAUGGUGCCGGCACCGGUGGAGGGGUUGAAGGUGAAGGAGCCUGGAGGGACGUCCACAACUCUCCGGCCGACCCUAACUGCCAUAAGGUUGACAAAGUAAAGUGAUGGUCUUCUAGGGUUCUUGAGCAAUGGGGUGUACUUGAUCCUCUUGGGCUGCCCAACUGGGCCCAACCUCAGCGACCCAGAGAAGUUGAGGGACUUGAAGCUAGGCAAGCAGUAGGAGAAUGUGGAUUGGUAUAGGUUUUGGGUCUGGGACAGCAACGACAAGGGGCCUCGGCCCAGGCCCAGGAGGCCCUGCGCCGGUAGGGAUCCGCCGGUGGCCUUUUGUAUGCAACCGAAGCUGUAGCCGGGGACUGCAUCGGUGGCUAGGGUGAUGGUGUCCUGUGAGAGGUUGGCUGCUAAGGAGGAGCCACCAUAGGUGAGGUUGAAUGAGCACACCCCCCCACCGCAUGUGGGUUUUGGCACCUGAAAUUACGCGAAGAUCAUAGAAGUUAAAAAGUCUUUUUUUAUAUAAAGGCCCUGGUGACAUGUCAAGAAAAAAACAAAGGAAACAACACUCGGAGAUGUGAGUAAUGGUGAGAGUAAAUGCAGUACCUGCUUACACUGAGCAGCUUGGCAGCCAAGGGACUUGUAGGUAGUAGAGGCAGGAGAGUUAAAGAGAGUGGAGGAGCAGCCCAGACAGCCAUUGCAAGGAAUCCAAGCAACAUCACUGCUGGUGUCCAUGGCCAUGAGCAUGGUUUGAGCAGGAGUUCCAAUCUUAGCCCUCACAAUAUAAGUUGGGUUCUGGACGAUCUGCCUGCCUGAAGCAAUAGGCACUACAGAUUUGCGGGCGACAAGGCUAGAUAAAAACUGGAGCCUGGCCUUGUCCUUGGCCUGCAUUUGGAGCACACUCUCCUCCCAGGACAGUGGCUCUUUUGGCCUGAAUGGAGAGCAAGGGCUGUAGACAUGGAGGACUUGGAGGGUGGAGCCUUGGUCAGGGGUCUCACAGUUGGGCUGGGUGAGUCCAAGUGCCAGGGAGAGGAAGAGGAGGGUAAGGCAGAGUAGAGGAAACAGAGAAGGGAAAGAGAGCCUCAUGGCUGGGGAGUUUGAUGGUCUGAAUGUGGGGGAGAGGGAGAGAGAGAGUUGAUAUUUAUAUAUAUGGCUGAUAUAGUAUUAUUGUGGGUAGUGGGGUGGAAUGUAGCUAGUGAGACCAUGAGUGGGUGUAUUAUGGCUUGAUAACAGACUGUAUUCCAUUUGCUUUUCCCCUGUAUGGGCCUCUUCCAUCCAAUCCACAUGUCAUUUUUAUUUUUACUUUUGUAAAUUAAUUUAUGUCACAUUGGCAGAGGCAGAGUGUGAUCUUCUUGGCACUUGGCUUGUCAAGAAAGUGACUUAUAAAGGACAAUAAUGCCAUUUCCCCCCCCCCCCCCCCCCCCCCCAAGGGGGGAAAAACCAAAAUUCAGGUAAACCCCCCCCCACCAUUUCAGAAUUGGUUUUUUUAAAAAGUUUUNNNNNNNNNNNNNNNNNNNNNNNNNNNNNNNNNNNNNNNNNNNNNNNNNNNNNNNNNNNNNNNNNNNNNNNNNNNNNNNNNNNNNNNNNNNNNNNNNNNNAAAGGAGCCCCUUUUGGGGGGGGUUUUUUUUUUUUAAAAGGGGGGGGGGGGGGAAGAAGGAGGUUUUUUUUUUUAUUUGGGGGUAAAUUUUUUUUUUGGGGGGGGGGGGGGGGAAAUUCUGUUGGGAGCCCCCGGGGGGGGUUUUUUUGGGUUUUAAACAACAUUUUUUUCUUUUUUUUUUCCCCGUAUGGGGGCUUUUCCCCCCAACCCCCUAUGUUUUUUUUUUUUUUUUUUUUAAAAAAUAUUUUGUCCCCACUGGGGGGGGGGGGGGGGUUUUUUUUUGGCCCUUGGUUUUUAAAAAAAGUCUUUUUAAAAGGAAAAAAUUCCCUUUUCCCCCCCCCCCCCCCCCCCCCCAAAUGGUGGUAUAAACUAAAUUCAAGUUAACAUCCUCUCUAUGAUCAUGAAAUGGAUUUUAUGAUAUAGUUUUUAAAUGACAUGACAAGAUAAAAUGUUCUUGUUCUUGUGAUGGGGUAGGCACAAUUCAUCAGCGCAAAUCAUGGGGGGUGGGAGCCAAUAUGUUGGACAUGUUCCUAAUAACCCAAUAAUAAAUGAACAUUUUCCCAUAACGUAUUUCUACUCUACUUUUAGAUUUACAUGAAAAGUUGCUUUUUUUUUUUUCUUUUUUCCAAAAGUUCAUCUUCAAAAUUACAGUCCACUUAAAAUAAAGAGAAAAGAAAAGGUAUACGGAAAAUGUAUGUAGCUUUUCCUUCUUCCUUUUCUUUUAUUGACAUUGCAAUUCAAUGAUCAAAUUAUUGCAUGGUUCAUCCUAGCAUGACAUUCAAUUCUUAAAGGUGAUAUAAAAUACGAGAGAAACAAAAUAGAAAAAAGAAGUAAAAGAAAAAAAAAAAGAUUUAAAGGUAAUAAAUUAUUUUUAUAUAUUAUUUUAAAAUUUUUCACUUAUUUAACUUUUCUAUAUAAAUAUUAAAUAAUUAAAAAUAUACAAAUUCCUUAAUAAUAAAAUCAAAUAGAAAAAAAUUAUUUUUCUUUUCGAGAACCAAAUAUACUCAAAAGGUUGAGAUGUUAAGAUUUGUGCUUAUACCAUACCAUAGGCUUGUUAUAUUUCUUUUCGGUUUUGCUUGUGACGUGAAUAAAAUGAAGUCAACAAACAUAAGAACGUGGUGAGAAAGACUCUUGACAUUACAUUGACAACAAUUUUAUUUUUUUUAAUCUAAAUUAUUACUAUUCAUAUUUAGAAUAUAAAAUUGACAAAAUCACUUCCAAACAGGUAUAUUAGAAAUUUACUUAAAAUUACUUUCAAACAAGCCUAACUAGGUGAAAAGGGAAUUUGUCCUUAGUAUUCGACCUUUAUUUUCAUCAUCGAUAGAACCAGGAAUAUAAGACAAGAGGGCAAAAUAGAAAAAAUUAGUUUCAGGGGGAUAAUGUCGCAUAAAAAAUAUGUUUAACUUAAUCAUUAAACCUUCUUUCUCUUUAGCUUAGUGGAAAUUUAGUUUUUCAAGAAGACCCUUCCCGACGUAUGUAGACUAAAGAAUAACGUUAAAAAUAAAAAUAAAAAAUUACUAUCAAAAUCGAAAGAGAUGGACAUGAUCCGGCUUUGGUGCGUACAAUAAUGAAAGAUGAUAUGAGAUUCUACUAAAAGGUAAAAGAAAGGGUUGUUGUGAGUAACACAUAUGGCAUACCCCACAAGUUAAGGGUAAAAGGCUUAAAGUAGAGGCCUUGAUACGGCCGCAUCGAGUCAAUUUUUUGAAAAAUGCAACCGUUGAUGGACCCACCAAAAACACCAAGACAAAAUGCUUGAAAUCAUUCAUCCAAAUUCCUCACAGUGCUACUAUGUAUAUGAUAUCUCACACGUACACUUUCUCUAGUAAAACCCGCCAUCAAAGGAUCAACUGAAAUUCCAAACCAAUAAAUUAUUCAUCAUCAAAUAAGCUUGGGGCAAAAUGCCACAAGAAAUGAUGAAGAAUAGUCUUUUCCCUGACCAUGUUCAUUUUCUUUAUCUUGGUGGGGGUGUGGGAUGCUUUCAUUGGGAACUUAACCCAAUUGUCACCGUGUACACGUACCUAAAUAUUUGGUUAACUCAACGUAAAAGUUAAAAGCCCAAUUAUUGUUUUUUAAAAUAGUUGAAAAAAUAGUUUUUGAAAAUAAUUUGUGAUAACCGUUAUAAUGUUUUGUAAAAUAAAAUUUUAAAAUAUUUUUAAUUUAUUUUAAUACUUUUAAAAAUAAUAUUACUUUAUUUUCAAUUAUUUUUUUAUAUUAGUAUAAUUAUUUUUUAAAAUAAUCAUUUAAAAGAUGUUAUCUGAAAAUACUAUAUUUUUUAUUUUAUGAUUGUAAAAUAUGUUUUUUAUUUUAUAUUUUCUUAAAUAAGAGUAAAUAAUUUUUUUUUAAUUAUCAAAUAUGACUUGAGACUUAUUUGUGAACAUUUUCAAAAAUAGUUUUUGAAGGAUAAUUUUUUAAAAAUAGUUGUUUUGUUUUCUAAAAUAAAAUAUAUUUAGAAACCUCAAAUGCUCUUAGCAUAUUUUCUUUGUUUUUAAAUAUUUUUUAAAAGUAAUUUUUAUUUAUUUUUUAUUGUUUUCAUAUUAAUGUAAUUAUUAUUUUUUAAAUAAAUCCUAAAAAAUAGGUGAAAACAAUUAAAACGGUUAACAAAAAUUAUCAAAUUUGUUUUUGAGUCAUAAAAACAAUUUUAUGUUUUUUUUUUUUAAUAUGAAAAACAGUCACACAAGAGGUUGUAACAAUCUUAAGGAUAUUUUAAGUGGUGAGUGGAAUCACUCAUUAAGCUCAACUCAAAGAUUUGUUCAAAAUCCCACUAGAUCAAGAUAUAAUUAAUGGAUGUGUCCAUGGGAUACCUGUCAAUAAAGUCCUAGCUAGGGAGCAUUAUUCAACACAAAUAAAUGGAUAAAUGUGAAGAGAACAGAAGUAGCAUCAUGGGCUAUUAAGGAGCAAUGGAGCAUUAUAUAAUAUGAUAGUGACUUGAGGCAGUGAUUAUUUUAAUUCAUAGUAAGAUCUUGAUCUGAUAGUAUAUUUAAAUAAAAAUAAAUGGAGGAGGAGACAUAAAGGGGCAGGAGAGAGAAAGGGAGAUUCCCUUUAUGGGGUGUUUGGGUGAUGGGUUUUGUCUCUUUCUUCCCAUCCAUACUCUAGUGAUGAGUGAUGAGGAGGGAAAAGGAGCAAAACAAACAGCUCCAUAGUGCAGUCAAGCUCAGCUGUGUGGUAGAAUCAAGCUCACCCCUGCUUGUUUUGUCCAUUUCCCUCAUUCACAGGAUACUGCAGCCGACUGAUGAAGCUAUUUGUGGUUUGUCCACCUGUGAAAUGGGACAGCCAACUGUUUUCUGUCAUGCCCACCAGUCCUUACCCUAUUCUUUCACACCUAAAACUGGUUGGAAUCACGUUCCCCUUCAACUUUGGAAUCCUUUUAACCUUGAAAUGAUUAGGACCUAGCCUUGCUUAUAGGGUAGAUUGGAAUUGAUGUAACUUCAAUUUUGCCUUAUGGGUUUUGAGUUGUACUAAUAUCUAUUGGAUAAAAGAUUCACAUGAUAUAAAUAAAUAAAAUUAAAAUAUAAAUAAUAAGACUUUAAAAUACAUAUACAAUAUUAUCUGAUCAAUGAUAUCUUUUUUAUAAAUAUCGAAAAAAUAUAAACCCGAUUUUGUAAUGGGAAUGAAAAGUUACUAAAAAAAAAUGAGAGAAAGAAGCUCAAGUAAGGAAUCAAAUCCAAUAGGACAAAAAUGGUUGCACAUGAUCCAAUUUUGCAAUAUGAAUUCAUUAUCAUAUCACUACCUUAUUAUUGUAUGCUCCACUUCUAGAUGCCUACACUCUUGCAUGUUAUAAAAAUCAUCACCUAAAAGUAGAGUAAAUACAAAUGAAGACAGACGGAACCCCAUUUGAUUGGUCUCUCAAUUAUGGGUUCUGCAUACAAUUUGUUCACAAGUUUAUUUAGAGGGUUGGGUUUCUUCUUCUCACAUGAGUUUAGAUUCCCAAGAGAUAUAUAAAGUCUACAGCUGCCAUAUUUUGUUUUGGAUUUGAAGCUUUGGAUACCCAAAUCCUCAGAAAAGAGAAGGGAAAGUCAUGGAGUUAGAAGAGGCAUGUUCCCAUCUGGGACUGACUGGAUAAAUGGCUGGACAAGAGCCAUGGUAACACGUGACCCCCAUUAAUUAUUUCAAUAUAUUAAUGGGCAAUGGCAGCCAAAUAGUUACAGGAAAGUCUUUUUCCUCCUUCUCUAAUGGGCUAGGAGAGAUCAAUUUUUGGAAUGCUUUAAUGACUUGUAGGAAACUAAGGUUUUAUUGAGAGAAAAAGAAUCAGGGGAUUGUCUCCAUUUUCAUUAGUGUCUUCACUUUACACCCACAUAUUCAACUAAGUCUCAUUUUGAUUCCAAAAUGGUGGCAUGCUCUUGAGAUAAAUUAUAAUAAAAAAGGUAGUGGGCAUUGAAGUAGAAGAAAUUGGUCACAAGUGAGGUAGGUAAAGGUGACUAAGGAUGGGAUCUUAAAUGGUCCACACACUAUUAGGAAUUAGACAAAAUACAUACUUUACACCGAUUCAUCAUUAGACAAGUUUGGCCACAUGGAAUCUUCUAGUGCCGUGAUCCGAAUAUGCGCGCAUUUGGGUUCCUUUCACAUAAUUCCUAAUCAUUUUUCUUGUUUGAAAUCAUUUUCAGUUACCAAUCAUAUGUCUAUUGUCUAUAUGAUUAAAAGAAACUCAUAAUAUAAUUGCAAAAACUUUUUAUCCUAUCCGAUAUAAAAUAUUACAAUUAAUUCUCAAGUAAAUAUAAUAUUUUUAUCAUAUCCCAUGAAAUUGCGAGGUUAUUGUAUCAAAUAGAUAGACAUUCCUCAUUAAACCAAACAAACUCUCAUAUUAGGAUUAGAGAUCAGUUCUGAUGUUAUUUAUAAUAAUCAAUUUUUAAUUUUAUAGAUAUUAUCCGUUUUAUGUCCGAUGAGAAAUAUCACAAUUACUUCAUUUUUUUUUUCUUUUAAUUUAAGUGGGAAUGUAGUAUUAGGAUCAAGAUUUAGCCAUGUCUCCUGAAAAUCAAUUGACUAUCAAUAAGGCCAAAGUAAUCCUUUUUAUGUGUUUGGAUAUCCAUUAGGUGUACAAAAUGGGAUUUGACCUAUCCCACACAGCACACAAACUCGAUUCAUAGCAAAUACUUAUCUGAAAUGUCAUUUCUUAAUAGCCAUUUUUGCGGGCUAGAAGACAUGUAGGUGAUAGCUAUGAGACAUAUUUUAUGAUAGCAGUGAAUGAAAAUGGGCACAAUUGUAGGGGUACUCUUGAGGUUGAGGCAAACUUCCAAGAAAAUAGGUGAAGAAUCUGGGAGGGAGUAAAUGUGUAGUGUGGAGUAAACACAACGAGAUAAAAGAGUACGACACAAGAUAUGAAAAUUGGGAGAAGAAGAGGGGUGGGGUAUAGUGAGAGAGGUUAGAAUGGCAGGCCCAUAAGCAGGGAAGGUGACACAGAAAGGAAAGGGAAAGAGAUGUGGCAGCAGCACCAACCCUUUGCAGGCUUUAUUCAAACUUAGGGUUGCAUGGCCGCUUCUUUAUGGCCGACAACACAUCACCCCUCCACCCCAUUUUCAACUUAAGGUGGUCCUAGGAAUUCUCUUCCCCCUCCCCCACGCAAUAAAAUGAAAACCCCAAAUUAUAAGACUUUCUGAUUUUGGUCAUUUUCCCAUACAUUAUGAAAUGCAUGAAAGAAUGAAAUCAAAAUUAUAAUAACACUUAAUUUUAGUUUACAUCCCAUGUUUUAGCAUGCUUGAUAAAAAUAAACCAAAUAUGACAUUUUUUGGGGUUUUUUUACAAUUUUUAAGAAAAAUGUUUUAAAACCCGUCUUAUUUGGUAUAAAACUAAAUUGGAUCUGAAUUCAUCUUUUGAUAAGAUGGUUUAAUGUAAAUAUAAAACAAUUAGCAAAUAGUGGUAUCCAAUGUGGUUACAAGUGUUAUUUAUUUAUUUAUUUAUUUUGUUGAAAUAACCUUUUUUUAAAUAAUAGUUUAAAAAAAAAAAUACAAAAAGUUUGCUGGUGGAUUGGGUGUACUAGAAGCAGCCAUGCCCCCACAAAACCACUAACUAGAAUGAUAUUUUUCCACAAGGGACCACCCUGCUGCAGAAGUUGCUUUUGGCCUUCUUGUUCAAUGUAUUGACCACCGCAGCUUAAUGGGCCUGAUAUGGGCUCAUGUCUUGGGCCCACCAGGAUAUAUGCCCAUGUGCAUCAACUCAACUUGAAGAUAAUCAUCAAACUACUACAUUUUCUUUGUGAUUUUAGCAUUGAUUACAAUCCAUUCUAAUUGUGAUCUUCUUGGGCAGAAAUUAAACGUUGGCAUUAGAUUUGAUUCAUUAUGAUUUUGUUCUCUAGCAUUAGCUUUUUGUGAUUUAGCUUUUUGUGAAACUCAUAUAGGCCCAUGUUGAUUUAAAAUUGAUGCUCCCCAAAUGAUCAUUUAUAUGAAUAAUGUUGUCAUGUAAAAUGAAAUUUUCUUUUAUUGAAAAGAUAGCAGAAUUUAGCAUAAUUUGGGAAAAUCUCCCUUUCUCUUUUUCCUGUUAUUGGAGUUGGGUUUGGAUGUUUAAGUGGGUUGACCCAACCCGACCCAAUAAACAAGAAAAUAAGGGAGCUUUUUAUCAGAAACCGUCGGUAUUAAGAAUUUUUUUAAUUAGAAAAAAAGAAUACAUUUUCUCCUUUAAAUUACAAAAUAAAAGAAAGAAUACAAUUCUUCUUUACGAAGAAACAAAAAAAUUCUCUUGAAUUUAUUUUUUCUCCAUAAAAAAUAAAAGUCAAAACUCUUGUGCUGUGAAAAAAAAUAAUUCUCGUAUUUGUGGUUCCAUUUACAACUUGAAAAAAUAAAAUUAAUUACUGAAACAAUCAAAAUGUUCUAACAUUUUAGAAGAAAACCUGAAAGCUUUAUUUUACAUCACCUAUCAAUAAUGAAAAAACAAUACAAUUCCAAGGGAAAGUGGAGGAAAAUGGUGUGGAUGGCCAUCAACCAUGACAUUAAAUGAAUUGAAGGAGACCCAUGGGAAAAUGAAACUCUUUUUCAUGAAAGAGACUUAAGGUGAAAUUUGGGUCACGUUUGGUUGAAUUUAAUCUGAGGUCCCCUUACUUGCCAGUACCAUGUGGAAUUUAAACUGACUGCCACAAAAAGGACUACCAUGUGGAACUGAGGGAGAGAUGAUUUUUUUUGGUGAGAGAUGUCAUUUUGCCAGUGCUUUUUGACUGUUGCUCCAUUGGGCUAUCAUGGAUUACAUUCCAGUAACUACAUCCCACCAAGAUGCUGGCUUAAUUUUUGUUAGGGUUAAUUUCAUUUAUCUCCCUUUAAAUUUUGGUUAAAUAUACUUAACUCUUGUCGGUUUAAAAUUUUAUCAAAUACCUCCCCUAUCAUUUUCAUAUGAUAUUUUUGUUUAUCUCUUAUCUAAUUCAAAAUAAAAAAGGUAUUUGACAAAUUUUCAAACCGAUGAAAGUUAGUUAUAUUUAGCUAAAACUUCAAAGGAGGUAAAUAAAAUUAACAUUUUUUUUUUUGUUAAUUUUAGGCUUUCAUAUAAUUAUGGGAACCGGGACAUGUUUGGGAGUGAUUAUGAGUAAAUCAUAUUUAGUUUGUAGUGAUAAAUAAAAUCAUUUAAUGUUUGGAUAUAAACAAAAGAAAAAAAAAAUAUUUUAAUACUAUUUCUGGUAUUGUAUUAUAAAAAAAAAAAUGAUUUUUUUGGAAGAAUUUCUUAUAGGGAAAGCGGGUUUUCAUACGUCCAAAUGAAAAAAAAAAUCACAAAAUAGAAACCUUAAUUUAUAAAAUACAAAUUUCAAGCAACCAUUUAAAAAUAAUUGGCAUUUCAUGCACUUAGUACCUUUGAUCAUUCAAGUUAUGUCUUUUAAUAAUACAUGUACUAUUUUUGAAUACUGAUAAAUAUAUGAAACUUGAAUUAUUUUUAAAAGUUUCUAUUUUGUGAUUAUUUUUAUAUGGAUGUAUGAAAACACAUUUUUUUCCACUUCUUAUUAAGUGAUUGUCUGAAAAUCAAUUUCCAAUGAUGUUUUAUAUCUUUUAAAAUAAUUUUUUAAAAUUUUCAAAUACCUAAUUUUUAAGAGAAAAUAUUUUCAAACAUUAAAAUGCAUUUCUAAUCUUUUUCAAAAUCAUUCUCAAAUAGGUUGUAACUUUAGAAUUCAAGUCGAAAUAUCUUAUAUUUGAAACUUUUGCUUUUGUAAACCAUUGUAUUAUUAAAUAUUCAUAUUUGAAACUUUUACUAGAACCAAAUAGAAUUACAAGCCACAUAAUUUUUUGGAAGGCCAUCAUUUCAAUUUAGUAUGUUAACUAGUAGUGGAUGCUUAUGACUCACUUAGUAAAAAAAAAAAAGUAUGCAUUAAAAAAAAAGUGAUAAGACAAAUAUCAUCAUGUGAUAUCUCAACUUUGGAUUCCAAUUUUCCAUCUCACAAAUAUUUUCACAUACAUCACGUGAUAUCUCAACUUUGGAUUCCAAUUUUCCAUCUCACAAGUAUUGUCUUUCAUGUGAUAUCACAACCUUGGAUUCCAUGUUACUCUCAACAAGUUUCCUUAAAAAAAAAAAAAUAGUAAGUUUCAAGUUCAAGUACUCUUUUAGGCACACACACCAAAGAAAUAAAAAAUAAAAAUAAAAAGUAUCUUUUUAGAAUAGUUCUAUUUAGUACCAUUUUCAAAAAUUUAAAUAAUUUUUCAUAAAUAAAUUGUGCAAAUUGCUAUCAUCCUUUUAAAAGUAUUCAACAAAAGCAUCCUUCAUUUUUCACAUUUUCCUAUGAUAUCCUCUAUUUUUUAAAAAUUGAUCUCACAACCCUUAAAUAAUUAACUUACCAAAACAACUAUUUUCACCUAUUUUGUCAUUUAUAGACCAUUUACUUUGCUAAAUAUACACAUUUUUAUAUUUUUAUUUUUAACCAAUAACAAAUUAUAAAAUUUUCAAAAUUUUAAAUGAAUAUUAAAAUCAUAUUAUUUAUUCAAAAUAUAAAUAAUAACAUUUUAGAAAAAAAAAUUAACAAUACAUUAUAAUAUUUAAAAGAAUUACACAAAUUUUAAUUUAAUUUAAAAUAAAUAUUAAAUUAUGAGAAAUAAAUAGAAUGCAAAUAGAUAAUAAUUUUUAAAUCAAUAAUAUAGUAAUAUAUUUUGUAAAUAGUAAUAUUAAUAAUAAAAACACAAAUCAUAUAUUUAAAAAAAGAAUAAUAAUAUUUUACUAGAAAUGAUAAAAUAUGACUAUUAAUAUUUUAAUAAAUUUAUAAAUUUUAAUUUUUGGAAAUAAAUAAUAAUAUUUUAUAAGAUGACAAUAGUUAAAUAUAUAUUUGAUCUAAAAUAAACUAUAAAAAUGAGUACGAUUCUUUUUUUUUUUUUUAAUAUGUAAAUAAAUCAAGUCUUUCUAAUGGUAGGUAUGCAUUUACUUCUUAAUAAUUGAAAACAUAUCCUAAAUCUCUUUAAUCUAAUAAUUUAUGAUAUUACUUGACUCAAUUUUGUUAAAGUGUAACAAUGUCGUUCUUGAACCUCAUGAUAGGUUACCCAAAUGAUGGUGAUGUUGAAUGCCAUAAAAAUCUUGGCUUAUCAUCACUAAAUACCAAUUGGUUUUUCAAUGUAAUGAUCAAAACCUGAUCCAAAAAUUGAUAUUAGAACCAAGUUCAUGAUACAUCACAUUAGGGUACAAUAAUAUCAUUCUUAAGCUAAGGGAUAGGUCACUUAAAUGAUUGUAAUGUCAAAUGCCAUAAAGAUUUGACCUAUGAUUUUCAUGCUAGAAGGUAAAAGUUCAAUCUAAGAAAUUUUGAUUUCCAAAUUAUUUUUAAAAAUUACUAGAAAAUUUUGAGUCCUAAAUUAUUUUUAAAAAUGAUUAGGCUUGUUAAAGAAUCAAAUACAUCAAGUUUCACUUGAUUUGGAGUAUGUUUUCUUGGUGAAAAUAUUCAAAUAUAUAUAUAUAUAUAUAUAUAUAUAUAUAUAUAUAUAUAUAUAUAUAUAUAUAUAUAUAAUUAGCUAUGGAGGAGAAAUUGACAUAGUCACUUCGGUCUAGUUUUGGUCUAGAAAAUUCUAGUGUUGUUUAGCAUAAUUUUUAUAUUCCAAUUUAUUUUUAAAAAUAAUUAGGCUCAUUAGUCAAUUCAACACAUUUUUUUUGCUUGAUUUGGAAUUUGUUUGUCAAUUGAGAAAAUUUAAAAAAAAUCUAUAGUUGUGUAUAGAAAAAAAAACUGGACAUUGUCAUUUUGUGCCAAUUUUAAUUCAAGAAAUUUGGGUAUUAAUUCACUUGAUUUUUAGUUCAAACUUAUAUUUAAAAAUUACCAAACUCGUUAAUGAAUCAAAUGUAUUAAGUAUCAUUUUAGUUUGCCUAAUGAGAAAUUCAAGAGAGUUUAAAAACCCAUUGUGGAAACUAUAAAUCUUUAGUCCAUGCUUAAACAAGGGUAGUACUUUCAUGAGUGAACGUAGGUUUACUCAUGCCUAAGUUCUAAUCAACUUCUCUUAGUUGCCUUGAAUUUUGUUAUUAGGUAAAUGGAAUUUAAGGGUCUAUUUAGUUGGUGUUAUCGAAAAUAGUUUAGGAAUAGUCUUUUCUAUUUUUAGAAAUAAAAUUGUAUUUGAGAACUAAAUUUUAAAAAAUAAAUUUUUUUUAAAAAAAAUAUAUGCUUGGUUAAGUUAAUAAAAACAAUUUUUUAAAAUAAGUAAAAUAAAAAAACUUGUUUGGAAAUUGCAUUAAAAAAAAAAGAGUGUUUUCUUCAAUAACUUGAUAUUGUAGAUAUAUAAAUAAUUUUUAGAUUUACACUUCAUUAAAAUAAAAAAAUUAUUCCAUUUUGAAAAUUAUUUGUAUCCGUGUUAAUUUUUAUUAAACGAAUAAUUAAUUUGUAAACAUGUCUAACAAUAUUUGAUUUCGAUAAUACUUUUAUUCAUACAUAUGGUAAACUCCUUAAUUAUUUUGAAACUUUUUUUUUUUAAAUUAUAAAUGCAUCAUAUUUAGACAUGUUUUCAUUAAAAAAAAAAAAAACUCAUCUAAAUUAUAUGCAUAUUAAUGCAAUCAAUAUUAAUACAAAUAAAGACUAUAAGCAUUUAGAUACCAACAUCAUAUUUUAAUAUAAUAUAUUAAAGUCCCUGAAUUUAUAGAUGAUAGUUUUUUAGAUAAUAUAUACAUUCACUUAAUAAAUAAAAUAAGAAGAAAGACGAUGAAUAAUGAAGAACAAGUAACGAUGUUACACCCACAACAACUAAUAAAUAGAAGACGACUUUAAGGAUUUAUUAUAAACAUUGAAUGUCAUAACUCAUAAGUUGACAACUAGAUGUUGAGAAUCAUACCCGUCAACUCAUAUAAAGCAAUGCAAAUAUCCCUACAAUAUAAAAAUUGUUAAAAAGAAUGAAAUGUAAUGUAUGUAUUUCAUUGAUAUCAAUUUAUUUUCUAGUUAGUUAAAUAUACUUAUAUGAUAUAAUGGACAACAAUAAAACCAAUCACCAUUGUUCUUUUGUGUUUUUGACAUAAAAAUGCGCAUACGUCCACACUCAUAGUAACACAUGAAUCAUUUUGUUCAUCCUACUUUUAUAAUUAUAAAUCAAAUUUAUAAGCAAUUUGAUCAUUAGAAAUUAUAAUAUACAUCACAUAACAAUAAUGACAACUAGUUAACAAAUAUAUAUAAAUUUUAAUAUAUAAUUGAAGUAUAAACAAAUAUUUAGAAUUAAAAAUAAUGCAAGUCAUGGAUUAACAUUGAUAUAAUUUGCCUAUAUCACUUAGCAAUUUGAUCUCUACAUGCUAUAGCUACGACACUCUCAUCUAAUAAAUCAAUUGAGUGGCUUGUAUAAUUGGCUUAUAAUGAGACAUAAUCCUUAAUAUCGAAAAUUGUGUCUUUAAAACAUCAAUACACCUUUCAAUAAUAUUCUGAAUGAAUGAAUCUCUAUAAUUAAAAAGUUCUUUAUAUUAGGUUUGUUAUGUUUACCCCAAUAUUCUUGUAAAUAAUAUUACUCACCUCAAUAUGGUGGUAAAAAUUCAGAUGUACAAGAAUAACCAAAAUCAACUAAAUAAUAUUUUCCUUCACUUGGCGAAGGAAAAUGGACUUCUAGUCUAGUCAAUGCAUCCAAAAAAAUACAUGCAUUAUUCGUUGUUUCUUCAUAAGUGGUAUAAACAAAUAUGAACAUCAUGCCAAAACCACAUGUACACAUAACAUUUUGUAUUAUAACUGUUUUUUUACGCUUAAACUUAGUGUAGACCCCCUCAGCUAGGGGCAUGGGCGGGUUUUUAUUUUUAUUCAUUUUUUUUCUUCUUCUUUUCGGCUUUCUUGAUCCACCCGAGGGCGGCUGGAAGUGAGAGGGGGGAGAAAGAGCUAUCCUUAGGCGGCUGUAGGGAGCAGGAACAGGGGAGCAGGUGCUUGAUUUUCGGAUCUGGGGAAAAAGAAAGGAGAGGGCGUUCCAAAGAGGGGGGUGGCGGAGGAGAAGCGGGAAGUCCAUUUCACCAUUUUUUUUUCUGAUUCCAGGUAUGACUUCAAUCCGCUUUGCGCUUCUCGUUAUGAACUGUUCUUUUCUGUUUCUCAUUGUUCAUGGUUCAUGAUGCUUGAAGACUACAUGCAUUUCUCUGUUCUGGAACGCUUCAAAUAAAGAUCCAUUGCUGCUCUUGUUUUUUUUUUUAAAUAAAUCUUCACAGUCUCACCUUUCUCUCAUUUUUCUCUCCUUUUCUCUCUGCCCAAACAUCCUUUCCCGUGGUUCUCUUCUUUUUUUCUUUUUUUUUCUUUCUUUUUCUUUCCUUCUCUCUCCGUCUCCAUGGAAAGCCACUCACCUGCUCAAACACUUCUACCCCCCACCAACACCAGUUUUCUUCUCUAAACCAUCACCCUCAUUUCCCACCUGCAUGCAUGGAGCUUUACAUGCAUGGCCUUCUCCCUCUCCACCUUUAUUUCUCAUUAUUUCUUUCCAACACCGAACCCACCACCUGCACCAUCAUCCAAACCGCCACUAGUGUCACCACCUAAGCUGCUAUCCGCUUCGCGUUUUGCCAUCGCGGGAGGAGGUUUUCUGAAGCUUUACUACCCUGGCAAUGUGUGCCCGUAAUCCUGGGAAGAAGUUUGCAAAGAGGAUGACCCGCGCGCCCCCGUUCAAGGACGUGUUCGAUUCACUGGUUUCCUUGGCAAUGUCGGCGCCAGCUGUAGCUCUCGGUAUGCCGCCCCUAAAUCCUGUGCAGAUUGGUACAAUCGAUGGUACCGGCUCCGCCGCGGUCACGACUGGUUGGUGCGUAGAGAGGUUCUUGGCGACCUUUGGCUGGAAGGGCAUUCGGGCGUGUGCAUGUGGGGCAUCCAGCCCGCCUGCCACCGUUCCUAGUCGGGCAUCAGAAGUUGGCCUGAAGUGAUUUGGGCUGGGACGUGUUUCUUCAGGCGAGAAAUGCAAUGGGAAGCCAAAAUUGCAACUAUGUGGGAUUAUGUUUGGGCUUCCCAUUACACAUUCUGGGCAUUCAAGGCCCAUGGGUUUUCUUAAAUAAAAUAAAAUAUUCUUCCCACCCUAGGCCCAUUAAAGGGCUCAAUUUGAGCAGCCAUUGUCUAAGUCCAUUUAUUAUUAUUAUUAUUAUUACUUGAAUCUUCAAAUUCAAUUUUUAUUAUUAUUAUUACUAUUAUUAUUAUUAACUCAACUUUUAAAAUCUAUAGUCUAAUUUCCUAAAGUUCAUUUAUUAUUAUUGUUAUCACUUAAAUCUUCAAAUUCAAUUUAUUAUUAUUAUUAUUAUUGUUAUUAUUAUUAGUAUUAUUAUUAUUAUUAACUCAACUUUUAAAAUCUAUAGUCUAAUUUCCUAAAGUUCAUUUAUUAUUAUUGUUAUUACUUAAAUCUUCAAAUUCAAUUUUUUAUUAUUAUUAUUAUUAUUAUUAUUAUUAUUAUUAGUAUUAUCAUUAUUAAUAACUCAACUUUUAAAAUCUAUAGUCUAAUUUCCUAAAGUUCAUUUAUUAUUAUUGUUAUUACUUAAAUCUUCAAAUUCAAUUUUUUAUUAUUACUUAGUAUUAUUAUUAUUAUUAACUCAACUUUCAAAAUCUAUUCAUUUCUUAUUAUUACUAUUAUUAUUAUUAUUAUUAAAAUUUAUAUUCCCGUAGUUUAAUUUCCUAAGGUUCAUCUCUUAUUAUUAUUAUUAUUAUUAUUAAUUCAAAAUCUAUAUUCUCGUAGUUUAAUUUUCUUGAAGUUCGUUUCUUAUUAUUAUUAUUAUUAUUAUAUAAUUAUUAUUAUUAUUAUUAUUAUUAUUAUUAAAAAUCUAUGUUCCCGCAGUUUAGUUUCUUAAAGUUCAAUUCUCAUUCACACUUUCAAUAUCUAUUUAUUAUUAUUAUCAUCAUCAUUAAUCCAAACUCUCAAGAAUCUCAUUAUUAUUAUUUUUAUUACCUCAACUUUCAAAAUCUAUUUAUUAUUAUUAUUGUCAUCAUUAAUCCAAACUUUCAAAAAUCUCAUUAUUAUUAUCAUUAUUACCUCAACUUUCAAAAUCUAUUUAUUAUUAUUAUUAUUAUCAUUAAUCCAAGCUUUCAAAAUCCUAUUAUUAUUAUUACUAACCCAACUUUCAAAAAUCUCAUUAUUGUUAUUAUUAUUAUUACCUCAACUUUCAAAAUCUAUUUAUUAUUAUUAUUAUCAUUAAUCCAAACUUCCAAAAAUCUCAUUAUUAUCAUUAUCAUUAAUUCAACUUUCAACAUCUAUUUAUUAUUAUUAUUAUCAUCAUUAAUCCAAACUCUCAAAAUCUUAUUAUUAUCAUUAUUGUUAACUCAACUUUCAAAAUCUAUUUAUUAUUAUUAUUAUUAUCAUUAAUCCAAAUUCUCAAAAUCUUAUUAUUAUUAUUAUUAUUAAUUCACAUUUUCAAAAAUCUUAUUAUUGUUAUUAUUGUCAUUAAUUCAGACUUUCGAAAUCUUAUAAUAAUUAUUAUUAUUAAUUCAACCUCUCAAGAUCCCAUUACUAUCAUUAUUAUAAAUUCAACUUUCAAAAGUCUAUGGUCUCGUAGUUCAAUUUCCUAAAGUCCGUUUCUCAUUUUCUUUAACAAAUUUUGAUUUAAUCACCGGAGCUCUAAUCUUCAAAAUGUAAUUCCAAAUACUCCAAUUUUCAAAUAAGCUCCAAUAAUUCAGUUUUCACUCGAAUAAUUUUUAAUCACAUUUCAGUUCCUAAAUAAUCUUCUGAUCUUCUUGAUUUUACAUAAGCAAUAGUGAUUCCUUCAUAAUUCUUAAACACGGGAUUUGUGAGAUUAGCUCAUGAGCAAUAAAUCGGGCUUUGUUGGGGCCCUAUGUUUAACCAUCUUUGACUGGCAAUUAUCGUGCUUACCGUAUUUUGCUUGAGCUCCGUUUUGCACUCCGAUAUGUAUGAGCUAUGUUUUGUAUUCAUUAAUUGUGCACUAAUCCCGUUUUUUUUUAUAGCGCAUUGUGGCUCGUGGCCGAGGUACACAUCCACUCCCUUUCUAGUCAAUCUCUAUUGCGUGUUUUGAUUCUCAUAUUGUGCAUGAUUUAGGUGGAUAUCCAUUGACUUUCUCGUUGAUUGCCACGUCAGUCUCAUUGUAUUAGUAGAGACCCGACUUUAGGGGCUUAGAGGGGUGCUACGGUCUUUACCGUACCUUCCCGAUGAGUAACCUGACCCCCGAACCCGAUCCGGUUUUUCACAGACCACCUUUUCCAAAACAAGGAGCCACACUUAGGGUUUUUCUUUCUUAUUUUGUUUACCCUUUUAAAAAUAAAACAAAAAUAAGUGGCGACUCCAAGUCAUUUUUCAAACAAUAAAGAUCAAUUUUUCGAAAUCAAAAUCGAGUUUCGCCAUCGAGUGGGAAACGCAUGAGCCGAAAUGCGGGGUCCACACUUAGUUUAUCCAUCAAUUGGGAGUCUUGUGCUAAUAUAGGUGUCAUCAAUUGCAACAAUACAAUCCUACAACAAAAUAUAUUUAUUAUCAUUAAGUAAAGAAAACAAUGGCCAUGAAAACUUCUUAUGUACACAAUGUUCAAAUUUAUAAAUAUUAUUUAUAAAAUCUUACGUUUAAUCAUAGAAAAUUUCUCUACCUAAAGCCCAAUAUAUUAUCUCUUUCACUCUUUUUGUUCAUAGUUCUAGAAGUUAAUCCCAAACAAUGAGUUUCCUAAUUUUAAUUAGACUCAAAAAUAGUAAUUUAACCAUUCAAAAAUAAAAAUAAAUAAUUUGAGUGAAAAUUACAAAAGGCCUAGCUGUAGUGUUAUGAUUCAAAUAAUUUGGAAUAGGAAUGCAAAGGCCAUUUCUCUUCAUCUGCAAAGCUCCAUUCCCUGAAGCUUAAAUGAUAAUUCUCACAAAUUAAAAAGGCCUUGUAGAGUUAAAAUUUGCUCUUCAUCUGCAAAGCUCCAUUCCCCUAAGCCUAAAUGAUAAGUCUCACAAAUUAAAAAGGCCUUGUAGAGUUGAAAGUGAAUUACAAAUUUACAUUUAUUUAUUUAUUUAUUUAUUUAUUUUUGACAGAGUUGCAAUCAUUCAACAUCAUCUUCCUCGUUAAAUUAUAUGAAGUUAAGGUGAUAUUUGUUUUUUAAAAUUAAUAUUGAAUGUAAUUUGCUUUUAGACGGUUUGUUUUUAUUUUUUCAACUUAUUACUUAUUUUUUAAUUUUUUUUAACUCAAUAGAAAAAGUCAAGGGAUUUUUUGCCCAAUACUAAAAAUAACUUUUUAAAAACACAAUCUCAACAUUGCCUUGGUCUUAUUAAUACUUAAUACUUAAUAGAAAUAAAAUAAUGAAAAAACAAACAACUCAAUACUUGAUACUAUUAAGUUAUUUUUAAAGUUAAAUUAAGUUUUAUUUAGAUUUAAACAAUAAAUAAAUAAAUAAACAAACAUCACUUUUAAGUGUCCAACCAAAUUAAGACUUGAAAACUAAAAUAUUGCAGAUUCACAGCCACCACCGCCGCCGCCGCCGCCCCCCCUUGGAUAUUUUCAAUUUGAUAAACACAACACAAAUCAAGAAAAAUUCAACCAACUUUUCCAAACCCUUGGCAUUCAUUUGAUUCAAAUGCAAUCAGAAGUGACACAACUUCACCACACAACACAACACAACACUUUGAGCUUCCUUGUGGUGCAAAUGGCAUUAGAACAGCCCCAACAGGGCUUCUAUUUCACCACAAGGAAGCCCAAGUGUCGUAUCCCGAUCCCCUCUAAUCUUAUACUACUCCCUACCAUACAAAUUCUAAGAAGUCUUUCACAAUCUUUAAACACAAUUAAAACAAAAAACCCGAUUUAGAGGUCUAAUUAUCAAUAAUAUAAAGAUCAGGACAUAUGAAUAACAAGUUUAAUCCACAUUAUCCUACUAUGAAUAAUGGAAGUGUCGUCAGUUUUCCAACCCCAUACUAUGACCAAAUUUAUUAUCAGGAUUUGGUUUUGAAAGAAAAAUUGCACCAACUCAUUUCUGAAGUAAGAAGCUCCAAAUAAGGGAAGAGGCUACACUGCAUUCAUUUACUGUCUACUUAAGAUCAUUCUAUAUGAGAAUAUAAGUGAUGUUUGUGGAAGACAAUAAGCUAGAUUUGAUCAAAAUUUUGGAGUGGUUUUUUCAGUCAAACAUGUUGCUUUCAUUUUUGAUCUCCAAGAAACAGUUCUGUUUGCACUUUCUAUAUGAAUCCGAGGCAAAUAAAUCAGAAUCCCUACUUUUGAAAUUGAAAUAUUCUUAUUCAGUCUACACUGUUCUUUUUGAUACCUUAAAAUAUUUCACCUGAGGUCUGUAUACAUCGAUCUUUUCUGAGAGGCUAUGCUGUGAUCUGAAUUUUCUUUGUUGUCAAAAUUGAGGUUUCAUGGCCUUUAUCCUUUUCAACCAUAGCCUAUCUAUUGUGUGUCCCACCGGGGAAGGUUCGCAGUUGCUUCGUUCACCAUCUUCACAAGAGUCACCUGCAAAUGUGAAAACAAAUAGAGUCUUAUCAUGAUUUCCAUCAUAAUGUGCAUAGAAUGAAUUCAUAAUUGGACAGUGCGAGUAAAGAUCCCAAAACACAGUAAAGAUGAGCAUAAUAAUAUGCCUGAGUUUAAAUAACCCCCUUGAUCCUCCUCUUACACAAACUCUAAAUGGAGGAAUCAUAUUUUUUGUACUUUGUCCCGAUGCUCAUCCUAAUACGAACAGGGUUCUAAAUAAACUCCUUUCACUUUAUUGUGAUACCUUCCAAUAGCACCAUUCAUAUUUCAUCAAGUUGCUCGACUUCUAUAGCCAUGCACUUGUGGCAAUGUGGCUAAACCAAACACGGUCUAAAUGGAUGAUAUCUUUGCAGAAAGGGAAAAUUUUGUCAAAGUCAACUGUUCUUCAAGGAAUCCAUCCUCCAAACCAAUUUAUCUAUUAAUUUUUUUUUUAAUACAGAAAAAUUCAAAGAUUAUUGUUCCCUUGAAUUUUCUAGCUCAGAUUCAUCUUUUGAACAAAACAUGCUCCAAAAAGGAACACUAAGUAGUAGGCAGUUUAACUGAUCCAGUGAUGGAUCUUCUCAGGCAAAUCAGUCCUCUUAUUCCACAAAAUUAGCAUUGCUUAAAACUAUCAAAUGGCUCAUUGUUUUCACAACAUAUUUCCACCAGCCUUCUUGUCCAAUUAAGUUAUUCAUGAUAUGGCUUUUUUAAUAACUCAAAAAUCCACCAGUCCUGCUUGCAAGACCAGGGAAAUGCACAGAUACAGAAACCACACCCUAAGAACUAUACGUUACUUCUCCUACAUGUGUGCUUGACAUCAGUAUGGUGCCAGCCUGACAAAGAUUCUAUGCUUUUGUUCAUUCCUUGAGAAGUGAGAGGUGAGAAUUCUCCCUCUAGUAUGAGAAGUGAGAAUAUGCUACCUAUUGGGUAAGGAAUAAGAGGUGCAUAUACCUCUUAUUGCAUGAUAUACAAAUGACACUCCCUGCCAGUGAAUUAUGUGGUAGCUUGCAUGUAAAUGAUGUGCUAGUGAACUCUAGAGAUGCCAUGUGGUCUCAAUGAUAAGAGCGGCUCCCCAGAUGAAGUUUUGUUUGCUAUUGGUAUGAAGAGUUUGGGACUCUCAACUUGUUAUUUCUCCAUGAGGUCUCAAGCUCACCUUUCUCAGCUUGUCCUGAGCUCUAUAAGGUGUCAAGCUGUUGUAGCUCCAAGAAUCAAGCUUGUUAAUAAAAGAACAGAGAGCUGAGUGUGCAGCAGCAUGCAGCAGUGUGCAGCAGCGUGCUCCAUGCACAGAAUCCAUGGAGACCUUAAAGCCUUUCUUGUUCUUAGCUCUAAUUUCUUCUGUAGCUCUUUGUUUCAAUUAAAGCUCUCUUCAUCUAGUUUGAAGUUUGAACCCAUCUGAUAUACAGAGGAAUAAGACAGACAUAUUCCCGAACUCUUCAUACAACCGCCAAAUAAAACUUGUUUCAUGAAUUAUCCUUAGCAGGAAAAGCACAUGGCAGCACUGCAACUCACUAGCACACCAUUUAUAAACAAGCUACCACAAACUAGGCAAGAGGAUGUGAUAUUUGUACAUGACGGAAAAGGGGUGCAAAUGCCUUCAUUUCUUACCCAAUAAGCAAUAGAUUCUCACUUCUCAUACUUAUGAAGAGCUUUCCUCCUCUAACCUUUACUUUCUUGGGAAAUUAACAAAAUCUAGCUGACGUGCAAGGGAAGCAAUCAAAUCAGUUUCUAAGUCUGGCCCAAAGAUCAGAAGCCUCAACUACUAAAAAGUCCUCUAGAACAACAAAGCUUUUGAUUUAGUAAUAGGCAAGUGAUCACCUUAGGAUGAUUUCCCAAAUCCAUAGGUUGAUCAAAAUUUUUUUCUUUAAUGUGGCGUAACCAAUAAAUAAAUGCAAAAACAAACAGGUUACCCUUUUCAUAUGGUUUUUGAGAUUUCUUGCGUUGUGAGCAUGGCAAUGAUCCCAUGCACUUCAUUUCAUAAAAUUUCUUAAAAAUGAAAAACAUUAGUAUCUUACAUGUCUAUAAAAAUCGAAGCACUAAAAUGACAAUCUAAAACAACAUUAAAGCCUACUGAAGACAAUAAAGAAAAAAGAACAAUGCACAACAAGAUUAAUGUGCUUCAGAAAACCCAAAGUUGUGGAAUAAAAUCCUGCCACACCCUUCCCAAUGACAUAGUGAAAAGGAGGAUAUGAAAGGCUAAUCAACCCAAGCACCAAUAGUAAAAGAAUUUGGGCCUCAAAAAAUUGGGCCCAAAAAAUCCAACAUGGUCAUACUAAAAUCUCUCUCAAAUUUUGCUCAUAAGGUUGAUAACGAUACUUUGCAACCCUAGAUAUCCUUAUUCUUACAUGUAGUGAGCAAGAUGUUUUUCUCUAUUUCCCUAGCAUUGUCUUAGUCCUUGAACAACUAACUAAAGGCCCAUUUAGAUAGCUUUCCUAUUUUUGAAUUUAGCUUAACACUUAAGUUAAAGCCAAAAUCAAAACUUCAAAAAGGUAACACUGAAAUAGCUUCCUGCAUAAGCCAAUAGAGUUUUUUUUUUUUAAAAAAAAAAAAAAAAAAGUACCCAGUUUUUCUAAUUUCCUUAUCAAACUCUUUUCAAGUCGUAAGCUCUUUCAACAAAAUUAACUAACUAAAAAGGGUAGGAGCUCUUAUUAAGCUUACAAAAACUAAUCCAAACAAGGCUUAGAUAAGGUAAUGGUUGGCAACUUGGUACUACUUGAUACUAACCUCAUUGAUACCCAUCAUAAAGUCUUUGCUGAAGAUGAUUAAUGACAUGAGAAUUUCUCAUACAAUGUAUGGACCAUAUGGCUACAUUGCAUUGUGUUUAAGGUUGGUAAGAUAUCAACCAAAACAUUGUUAGGCAACAAGAUGCAAUCUAUUUUCCUGCUUUCCAUCUUUCUCCUUCCUAAUUUUCUUCUUCUAUCAAAAACUACUUAUGACAUCUUAGGAGCCUACUUUGCCUCAAUGUGCAUCACAUCACUGAACAAAUCUGCCGAAGUACCAUGAUGGGAGGGAUUUCACAUGUACAAAUGAGCAUUCCAUGAGAAAAGCUCCAUAAGAACAAGGAAAUAUAAAUAGUAAUACCAAAAAAGAAAAUUUCUUUGUUCUCCAGCCGAUAAUAAUGAACAUAAAAUAAAGUUAAAACACCCUUGUUAGGCUCCCAUUAACAGGGAUGAUAGAGGAAAGGGAGAAAAAACAUAGCUAAAAGAAAACAAGACAAGAAAAAUUAGUAUUAGAAAAUGAAAUUUUCAUUUGAUGGUUAACCCAAAACAACUAUACUAUGAAGAUAGAAAUCAAAAAGUUAAAACACACUUGUUAGGCUCCCACUAACAGGGAUGCUAGAGGAAAGGGAAAAAAACAUAGCCAAAAUAAAACAUGAGAAGAAAAAUUAGUAUUAGAAGAUGAAAUUUUCAUUAGAUGGUUAACAGCAAACAACCAUACUAUGAAGAUAAAAAUCAAAUACCAGCAGUAUAAACAAUUGCCAGUGGAAUCUGACUUCAAUUGUAAGUAGACAGCAUACAUGGGAACAAUGUAUAUGAAAUGUGAAGGAGUCACCAUGAACAUACCACACUUUCAGGAACCCCUGGAGGCGGCAAGGAAAGGUUUCUAGGAGGAGGUCCACGUAGGUAUGAUCUCUUGUCAAAUCGCCACUCUCCAAUUUUCCCAUAUGUCAGCUCACCCUGAAUAUCAAGAAACUUUGAACAGAUAACCACAGAACCAAUACCACAAAAUGCGAACUUAGGGAUACCCAAACAUAACGAUGAUAAGAGCCAGUAAUAGAUAAAAUAGUGAGAAUAUUAGAAGGAAUAAUGUCCAAGCCCAGGAAAAGAAAAAGCAUGCUUGAAGAAUCGAGAAGAACAACAAAUAAGAUGAGAUACACAGUUGUAGUUGGCUAUGAGCUUCUCAUAAUAUGAGGAAAUGGGAUGGAAGAAGGUACUUUACCUUUAAGUUGUAGUCACAUCCAUAAGUGUAGUGAAUAAUAAACUUCUUUGCAGUUUCUAAAUCCCAUGGUGGCUGAAAAUUUAAAAUUACAAGGACUCUUCAAUAUCAUCUUCUAUAUACAUGUACUAAUGUUGUCUCUGCUGGAUAAUGCAAAAUACUUGGAACAUAGACUAUAUCAUCAAAAUUUAAAAUAUUAGAUGCCAAACCUGCAACAUAAAGUCCUUCUGAAGAAUAUGCUGCACGCCAUGCAAGGCAGAUGCUACUGCAUAUGCAUACCUUUGUUCAAGAAAGGAAAAAAAAAAAAAAAAGGUUGUUACUAACACCAAAAUGUGCUAGAAUUAGCUGGAAUACCAGGGAAAAAAAAGGCUGUUUCCAUGUGGAAUUUUGUCUCACAUUUCUAGCACCCAUCCAAAUACUUUAUCAGUUUCUGGGUCAUCUUUCAUUCUCAAAGAAACAUUCAUCCAUGUAGGCGCAAUCUUCUCCAACAACUCCUGCACGGGACAAUUAAGUAAACCAAAAUGUAAUUCACAUUUUUACAGAAAAAAAAAUGAGGGAGCAAAAAAAUAAAGAAAGAAAGUGCGGCUUUUGGAUGUAGAGACACUGUAAUAAUAAUUAUAAAUUAAAAUGAUAAUAAUAAAUAGUGAGAGUAGAAGUCGAUUGGUUCCUAGUUGAGGGCCCAAAACACAUCUUUCUCCCUUUUAUUCCAUUAAACCUAACUUAUAUCAAUUUAAAUUAAAAGGGUAAUAUAGUCAGUGAAAAUUUCAAUAUUAUAUUACUUAUUUCAAAUUGGCCAAACCACAUCACUCUAGCACCACAACUUAAAUAUUCCUCUCCAACCCACCAAUGGCUAGUUUAUAGUUGGAACAUGCAAGUAUCACCUGUGCCACCACUAAAAGUAAGAACAAAGUAGAAGGCUAGCAUCAUCAUCAUCUGAUCAUAAUUUUAAAUAACUAGCAUAAAAGGGAUAUAAAUGUUUCAAUAAUUAAAUGGCCCACCAUUGAAGAUAAAAUCAGGUAUCAGUAGGUAACCUAGCAACAAGAAACUUUACCCUCUUGAUAAUUACAGGAGAGUUGCCAAUUGGAUCAACAUUUGUCACAGGGCCAUGUUCCUCAGGAUAGAACUUCCUUAUUAUUUUUUCAUUUUGAACAGGCUUAAUGUAGAAAAAGGGAUAGGCAGCUGGAUAGUCUCCAUGUGCCAAAUUAGGCAGGGGCUUUAUAAAUAUGUGAUCAGGCUCUGCCAUCAGUAUGUAUCUGCAGCAGUAAGAGUAAAUAAGCUUUAGUAUCUGUUCAGAGUCAAAUGCAACCGAGUUCCAGGUCAACAAAUAUAUAGAAACUCACUCUUCCUCAAUUGUAGCCUUUUCCAGCCAUUGCACAAAGGCCCAUGGUCUGUUUAGGACAAUGUAUCCCUGGAUACAGCAUUUGUAAACCAUGUCACGAAAGAAACAGUAAAUCUAAUAUCUUAAUAAUUUAAGAGACAGACUAACAAUUAUCAUUAGCGUACAUCUGAUUAAAGGAGAAUAAGAACAGCAGAAAGAACAUCUAAUAAUUUGCCAGCCUAGAGGUAACCUGGACAUAUUCUGGCUCUUAUUGGCUAACUUAGAAGCAGAGGAUUAACACUCAACUUCUGUUUGAACUCCAGAUACUUCAUGGAAAUUACUUAAAUUGGAGUUUACAACAUCUUAAAAAAAUUGUAAAGAUUCAAGGUUUUAGCCAUGAAAUCUCAAUUAAAGAAAUCUCAAUUGAAGUUUGGCCGCUUUAGAGUGAAACAUAAUGAGUUGAUGUUAAAGCCAUGGUCAUAAGGAAUGCCACCAUAAAUAACAUUCAUUGAGAGACAAAUCAAAAGGCUGAAAGUAUAUAGAAUUCCUGCAAUUAUCUGUCUUAUGUAAAAUGAACUAUCAGGAGCAGGCACUGUGGAAAUAUUUUAAAGAAAUCCUGAAAUGUAAGAACUUUUUCCACAAUGUGUGGUACACAGUCAACUCAACUCAACCAAGUCUUAUCCAGUACCUUGUGUUCUGGUGUAUUAUCCAAUACUUACCAAACCAUUCAAGAAUACAAAUGUCGGAAUGACAACAUCUGCUCCCUGAUGACAUUGAUUUCCCCAUUUAGAUUGUCAUGUUGGGAUUUUAUUUGACAAACUCCACAUAACCUAGUCAGUGCAUACCACCCAUCCAGUUUGCAAUGUCUACACAUCAUUAUGACCAGACCAUCAUCCAUGCUAUAUUCUGCAACCUAAGUGCUAGGUAGAUAAGACAGUUCUCCACUAGAAUGGCACCAAGUGUCCUUUCCCUCCUGCUGGAUGCACUAAGUGGCCAACUCCAUAUUUCUUCUUGUGUUUAUCACCUCCCUAUCGCCUCUUGAGUCACAAUGCUAACCAUUUAGGUACAAAUUUCUACCUAUGAAUGGAUGCCUGAAUAUUUCAAAUAUCCAUGAGAUAUGGAGGCCCACUCAAAGUGGAUGGUAAGGAGUCCAUGGAUUUAGAAGGAAAUACUGUUUCAUUCCUAUGAACCUUGAGUAGCUUAGGCAUGGGAGAGCAUUUUAGAAGUAGCCUAGGGAUCUUGCUUUAAUGACUAGAGUUAGAGAUCCAUCAAGAAGCGAUUAACAUGAAUCAAGCCUAUUCCAGCCUGCAUAAGUAGGAGAAAUAAUCCACCAAUAUCUACAAGACAUGCUACCAUCAGAAAUGUCCAUGUCAUCACACGGGGAUUCAUGGGAGUCACUGUUUACAAGCACUAUAAAAAGGCUUAAUGUUUUAUGGCAAAUGAGUAACAGAACUCAACCUUGCUAUCCUAGAUAUCAAUAUUAUCUUUUAAUCUGCUGAUGAUUGUGAGUUUCUCAAAAUGGAGCACCCUCACUAUACACUCCUCAGUCCUCUCCUUUCUCCUCUCAAACUUUGACAGAUCAUUGCCUAACAUGGUUGACCUCCUCUAACCAAGAACCCAACACAAUAUUUUGGUGCUUCCCUGGGAAGUUAGUAUAAUAAGAUGGUGACACAGGAAAGGGUCCAGUAAGUCUUGUCCACCUCUACCUUGCACAUUUGACCACAAAGAGCUCCUAGUUGCACUAAUUCCAACUCUCAUCUCUCAAGCACAAACCCCACCCAAACAACUUCUAACUUCUUUUACAAAUUUAUUCCUGAAUUCUACAUAUUAUUCUAUGUGCCUAACAAUUCUUCAAUCACAAAUCUAAAGCUAGGAAUUGAGCUUUUGCAUGAGAAAAUAACAGUAACCAGGUAAAGAAAAACAUAUAGAAUAAUGUGUUCCUAGUUACAUGGAGCUUGCUUGCAAUUUUCCAACAACCUAAAAGAAUGCCGUUAUACAACAAAGAAUAUAAGAAGCAAAGAUGUAUAAUAACAGAAGAAGAUUUCUCACCCGAUCCAAACCUGCAGGAAGAGGAUCAACCACAAAAGUAGGAAUCUCUUCCAUCAGGUUAUCAGGACUUCCUGAAUGCAGAAUCCUUGUAAAUCCUCCCAUCUCUGAUCCAGGCAAGUCCUUUUUCUUCUUGUACCAGUAGUACAUUAUGCGACACUGCCAUUUGCUGUAAGGAGCAUCAGUUGCUGUUAGGGCAAUGUGGAAGGGCAACUUGGCAUUUUUUGGUUUUCUCACAUUCUCAGGCAUCUCUAUAAUUGGAUCAGAUAAUAAGCGAUGGUCUGAUUCAUCAACAACCAAUGUCCCCGUAGCUCUAUUAUGAAUUGUCAUUGUUAACAAGUUGUAUGUCGCAAAGAAAAACCCAAGAGACAAAACAACCAGAAACAGUGGUGAGAUACGUGCCAUGGCCUUCCUCACAAUCAUUUUUUUAUCAUAAAGGAAACAGAAUUCUAAUCCUCAGAGCCAAACAAACCAAUUCUCCUACUUGAAACAACUAAUGAAGAAAACCAUUAGCUUGAUGACACUCCUCCAGUUCACCAGUCCAUGAUAUCAUGGAGCCACAGUUUUAAAAUCUGAUUUAUAUGGGAGAACUUCCAAGCACUUUUUCAAGAUAAAUGAACAAAAAAGAAAGCUUUAACAAGCUAUCUGCAAAAGAAAAUAAUAAGGAUGGGUAUCAAUAAUAAGGAAGAAGAUCAAAUUAAGAUAUGCAAGGUGUAUGUCAAUAAAGGCAGAAUUUUUCAAACUACAAUGAUUCAAAAUUCUCAUAAUUCAUAUAUAAGAUGUUCAAAAUGAAGUCAUUAACCCAAAACUCAUUCCAAUGCAACAGUAUUUAUUAACAGAAUUUUAUGCAUAUGCCUAAAAACCAAUUUUUUAAAAGAUGGCUGCAAAAAUUCAAGCUCUAACAAAUACUUUUCAUAAUCAUAGUGACACAGGAGUGUACUUCUACAUGGUCCAAGAAUCUGAGUCAAAGGGGCUUCAGAUUCUCACAUUAAUUUCCUAAGCUUCAACCAAAUUAGAACCAGAUUUUGAGAAAUCUUUUGGAGUAAAGCUGGUGUUGAUCUGGCAGAUUUUUGGUAAAAUGGUUCUACUUCAUUCAAGUCAACUGGGAAUUCCUAUUUUUACCUCUCCUUUUCUUACUUUCAUUAAUUUCCUAGGUGAAAUUGCAGUCCAUCAGUAAGUCCUUAAGAUGUGAUCUAUUUUUCAGUUAGAAAGCUUCUUGGAAUUCACCUAGUUAGUUAGUUUGGUGUUGAGAAUGUAAGUUAGCUGCUUUGGAAGCCUAUGCUUGGAGGGUUGUUCCAAGUGUAAGCUAAAUAAGUCUUUUGAAUUGUAUGGGAGGGAGUUUUUUGCUGCUUGAAAAGAAGAUAUCUUCAGUUCAACAGAGAGUACUUUUCUCAAAGAACUCUGUAUCUCUUAGGUGGAUUCUAUUGACUGGUGGGUUCCAGAUUUUCAAUGGACUCAAAGGGUGGUGAUUUCCAUAUCCCUGGGGAGUUCAUUGUAAUCUUAUCCUCUGUUUUCUCCAUCAUUCUGGUAUCACAUAGGGACAAGAUAUCCAUGUGAUGCAGAUUAAUUUAAGGUACACAAGAUUCACAGAAAAGAACAUGAAAGGAAAUUUCAGACCAUAUCUGUUCAAAAUGCUCAUUAAACCUACAAAAUUAAUAGCAAUUCCCCAGUAUACAGCAUAACAUGGAAGCAAUUAUAAGAAUACUAGUUCUAUAUGAACAACUUUAGAAAGAAAAUUUCCAGGAGAUAACACAGAAAAACAUAAGCUCUGAGAAAAACCUACACAAAGAUAAGGGAAAAUUUUCUAUGUGAUGAAGGACUAAGGUCAAGUUGAGGUGAACAAAGUUCAUUAUACAUGCAAGAAAACUAAAACUAGAAUGAUGAAAAAAUUGUUUCAUAUUGAAGAGCAAAGUUAUCCAGAAUAAUUGACGGAACUCGUCAAAGGAUUCAAACCCAUAAAACCUUUUCCAAUUCUCUCACCCAGAACAUAACCUGAAGCACUAUCAAACAAUGUCUUCCUAUCAUACAAAGACUAAACAAUUUUUAAGCAGAUACCCAAAAGGUGCAACCUUGAACAAUGAAAAUGCAUUAAAAAUAAAAACCAAAAUAUCAAUGUGCUACAAUCCAAAAUGGAUCAACAAAAAAUGAAAUUCACAGAACUAACACUACGAGAUAAUUGUGAUUGAUCAGAUCAAACAAAACUCAAAAGAACAAGCCACCAAUCAUUACAAUUAUAGCAAUACGAAGAAGAAGAAGAACCAUGAAGGAUUGAUGAAUUCUGGGUCAAACAGAGAAGUGAGGUCAAUAUUUCCUCAAAAAUCCAAACUUGAGAACUUGGGUUUAGAAGUCUACCUGAACAGACCAAAUGGGCACCAAGAAAAAUAGAAAAAAGAGCUAGAACAACAAAAACUGGAGCAACUAGAGCCUAAAUAAACAUGGGGUUGACGCAGUGAUUAAAGAAGGAGUGAAGACGAGAGAGAAACAAAUGUAUGAGAGUUGUCAGCGAAUUAAGUGAAGGAGUUAAAGAAACAGGGCAGAAAAAUAAAUUUGGAAAUAUAGUUAUUGAGAUCAGAGGGACAGGGAGAGAGAGAGGCAGAGGCACAACCUGAAGGUGUCUGAACACAGCAGGAAAAGAGAGAAAAAGAGAGAGGAGAGUGUUUUUUGGAUCCGGAAUUCAUAUUUGAAAAGUAGGUCUUCUGCUUGAAGCUUUCUAAAGUCGUCCCUGUCCCUUUUCCCUUUACAGAAAUAUUUUACAUUUUCUUUUAUUUUAAAUUUUCAUUAAUUAAAUUUUUAUAUUUCUUUUAUUUUUAUCUGAAAUCAGAAUUCUGAACAUUCCAAUGCCUUUUACAUUUAUUUUUAAUUAAAAAAAUAAAAAUAAAAACUUCCUUAUUAAAAUCAAAAAUUUUUUUUUUUUUUUUUUCUAAUUUGACUUUAGCAUAUGCCAAAUGUCGGAACAUGGUGGAUGGCCACUAAGGAUAAGAAGCUCAUCAUUAGUAACGAUAACGAAUAAAACAAUAAUCAAGUCAAAACUGUUUGAUAAAUAAUUGAUUGUAAAAAGGGCAAGAAUAAUAUACAUGACCAAGGCCCCAAUCCAAAACUUUUUGGGCUUUCGAUUAGGCUGAAAUUUUAGGCCCUGUUUGGUUUGUGAAAUAGGAGGAAUGAGAAAAGUAAAUGUAAUAGGACUAUUCCAAUUUUUUAUGGUAAGCAAGUUAAGAGAAGACUAUUAUGGUCUAUUUGGAACUGUUUUUAAGAACAGUUUUUUGUUCUUUACAAUAAAAACCACAGAAAACAUUUUUGAUAAUAAAAAAUUAUUUAUAUUUUUUAUUCUUAAAAAUGGAAGGCAUAGUGUUUUUAAAAAAACGUCGUUUAGUUGUUGUUUUUUUGUUAUUUUCACUUAUUUUUUGAAGGUUAUUUAAAAAAAUAAUUAUAUAAGCAUGUAAAAUAAUUAAAAUAAAAUACUAGAUAUAAAAAUUAUUUUUAAAAUAUAUUUAAAAAUUAUUAAAAGGUUAAAAAUAUUUUAGGUUUUCAAACAGACUUCUCUUUUAUAAAAAUUAGAAACUAUUUUUAAAAAUUAUUUUUGAAAACAAUUAUCAACCAUGCCCUUAUAUUACAUUUAACAAUGAUUCUAGAAAGUAUUGCUAAUUUUUCUAAUAUUUAAAAAAUAAAAAUUUUCAAGUAUUAAAAAAAUUAAAAACAUUUUCUAAAAUUAUUAGCAAAUGCACUCUUAUUUUUAUUUAAGUGUUUGUAUGAUUUAUAAUUAAAAAUAAAAUAAUAAUUUAUAAAUAUUCUUUCAACUAAAUAAAAUCUAAUAUAUGGGUUUUUUUAAUAAAUAAAUGCUUAUAAAAUAAUUCUUGAUGUUUUUCCUAUAAAAUAUAUAUGUAGUUUAUAUUUAUUACAUUAUCUAAUAAUAGAAAAUAUUGUAUUUUUAAUCAAAUAAAUAAAUAAUUUCAAAAAAUACAUCGAUUAUAAUUAUUUUGAAAAUAUAUAAGAUAAAUAAUGAUUUUGUUUAUGUUUAAGUAAAGAGAUAUUGAUGUUGAAAAAAUAAAUAAUUUAUUAGAUUGUAAAAAUAUUGUUUUUAAGGUUAAAUUGAUAUAAAUGUUAACUAUUCAUAGGCUCAAAGGGUAUAUUAGUUAUUACUAGGUUGGAAUUAGUAAAAAACAUGGUAGGACACUUGUGGGAGAUCAUCUGUAGUUGGACAUAAUUUUUAAUUUCAAAAUAUUAAUUAAGGGAUAUUUAGUUGCUUAAAUAGGAUAUGAUAUAUAUAUUUUAGGAUAUCUUACCAUUUUUAAUGAAAUAUAAUAUUUUUAGAAAAUAUAUCCAAUAAAAAAGAUAUUAUACCUAAGAAGUAAUUUUUUUUUAAGGAAUGAAAAUAUGAUGUUAAAUAUAUAAAGAAAUUGUAUAUAUUAAAUAAUACAUAUAUUUUAUACCAUUUUUAUAUGAAUUUAAUUUUGGUUUAAUCAAUUUUUUUUUUUUUUUGGCAAAAACUUAAAAUAUUUCAUCUUUAUAUCUUUAGUACUAUCAUAUUAAAAAUAUAAAUGUAUUAAUAUUUUUUAUUUUAUUAAAUAAAAAUUUAUAAAAUUUAAUUAUUAAGAAGGUAAAUCAUAUAUCAAUUAGUGAAACAAAAUUUUAUUAUUUAUUUUAUUCACAUUUCAUUAACUUUAUAUAUAUAUAUAUUUUACAUUUCAUUAAUAUUUUAAUUUUAUGAUUUUGUGACUUGGUUUUGUAAAAUUCUAAUAGUAAAUAGUCAUUCUAUAUUUAUUGUAACCAUUAUCGAAUGCAAGAUGACUAAUAUUGAAUUCCAACUUCAACCUCAAAUUUGUUGAACAUCUAGACCCGCCUUCGAAGUUCAACAACAAUUAAGAUGGCAUUUCCAAAGCAUUCCUUUGGAAAUGCUCUGUUUUGUACGAAUAUAUAAGGUGUAAGAUGAGUUCCAAUUGUUUUUUCUCUAAUUGUUUUGUAUGAUAUGAUCUAUUUGGUAAACAACAAUUUUCCUUUGGAUACUAUUUUUUUUGUUAGAAAAUAUUUCAAGAAUAUUUUCAAAGUGUUAGUAAUUAUGACUCAAACUAUUUAUUUUUAUUUUUAUGAAAAUCAAUAUUUUUAUAGUUUAUAUUUGGGUAAAUUAUUGUUUUUGAGUUUGACUAGGAUUCAGAAAUUCAUUCUUUAGGGUUAGCCCGUGGGAUUUUGUAAAUAUAUAGCUUUAGAUAAAAUUUAAAGUGAGAGUUCAAAAAGGCAACUAUAAAAAAUGUCAAAGUCAUAAGAAGAGCCUAAAAAUAGGCAAUAGAUGUAUUGCAUGUGUUAAAUCAAAGCUUGAUUAAUCUCAAUUUUAAUGAUAAAAAAAAUAAUAAUAAGAUUUGAAUCUAAUGAUUAUAUUUAAGUGUGAAACACAAAAAGGUCUCUUAGGAAUCAUGAAGAAGAAUAUGCAUGAAGCAAACAAAGAAUUCAAGAAGAAUAAAAGAAAGUUUAUCAAGUUUAUCAUUAGAAUAUUUUAUGUAAGAUAAUGAGUGUAGAAAGUUAGGAUUAUAUAUUUUUGAAAGCAUCAAAACAUUCAUCCAUAAUUUUUUAAUUAGUUUUGCACUUUUAUAAUUUGGAUGAAAAUAUUUUUAAAGAUGAAAAGGCCUACUUGGACCUACCUAGCUUAGGAGACUACCUUGAAUAUCAAGUUUUUCAUAAAAAGUCUUUGAAGUUUUCUUAAAAGUAAUUCUCAACUUAACCAAGAUGCACUUAAACUUUGAAAACAUAUUCUUAAGUUUUAAAAGAAUUUGUUGGAGAAUGAUUGUAGCCCAAAACUCACUCAAACUUGCAUUUAUUUCAAGUUAGAGCACAUGUGGAUAUCAAUGUAGACGACCGCUUGCCCUAUGAUGUGGGUUUUUGGCUAGUGGAAGGGAUGUGGAUGAUCACUUGCAUUGUGUUAUGAUUAUUGGCUAUUGGAAGGGAUGUGGAGGUUCACCUUGACGAUCACUUAGUAAUGUGGAUAACCACCUAGGUUAGUUUUUAAGAAUGAUACCCAGAGUACUACAAAAGUCAUAUUAACUCAUUCUCUAGUUUUUCUUAGACAAAGUUGUUACAUAAAAAGACUUAGUAUUUUGGACGACGAAGAAUUGCGAUCAAUGGAUCCAACUAAUAUGAAAGAAAAAUGUGUUUAGUGGGGAGACAAUGUAAAAGAAAAGGUAGAUCAUUAGCAUUGGUAACUUUGGUAAAAGUAUAUCUUCAUUAAGGUAAAUAUUCUCUUAAUUGUGAGUCUAAUUCAUAAAGUUCUUAAAGCAAUUUUUGAAUCAUCAUGUAGCUGCAUCAUAAAAAAAUUUCAAAUUUUUAUGGAUCAUUUAAGCGAAUUAUUGAUUGUUAUAAAAAAAUCAAUGGUUAAGACAAAUGCUUUAUAAAAAAGGAAAGUUUUCAAAAAAAUUUGAAGAAGCAUAUCUUGGUUUCAAAUGACUUAAACAAUAUCUAGAGAUAUUUGUUAUAUUUUACCAAUUUACCUUUUUUAUUUAACUUUUUUUUAGGUGUUGUGAUAUUCCCAACAAGUGGUAUCAAAGCCAUCAUGUGAAGAUUGUGAGAAAUAUUUUUGAAGAUUUUUUGCACAAAAUUUGAUAUUAAGCACUUCAAUGGAAAAGAAUAAUUUCAAUACAUAACAAAUUAUUGUUAAAGAUAUUUUGGUGCAAUUAGGAGUGUAACCAAAACCGAAAAAAUUGACAAAUUAAUUCACACCAACCAAAAAUCCAAUCAUAUUGGUUUGGUUUUCAAUAAUAAAAAAAUGUCAAUUUGAUUUGAGAAUUUUGAAAACUGACUUUGUCAGUUCAUUUUUCAAUUUUCUUAUCUCGCAACCAAUAAAAAUUAAAUAAAACCGAUAUUCUAAAACAAAGUUUCUUUUAUAUUAAAUCUAUUAAAGUAAUUCAUUGUUUUUAUAUUGUAGUCAAAAUAAUUUUAAAUGCAUUCAAUAUAUUUUUAACAUCAAAUCCAAGUUGGUUUCAAUUAAUUUUAAAAACAAAUUAGACUUAGAGUUUAAUAUAAAUUCAAAUUAAUGGGUUUUAGAUUCAAAAUAAACACAAAUUUAUAACUGAGUUGAGGACUAAAAAAGGCCAUUAAGUUGGGUUGAAACUGAUCUAUGAAAACCAAACCAAACAAUCUCAAAGGCUUGGUUUGGUUCAGUUUUUCACUAAAAAUCUAGUUGAUUUGAUUUUUAUCGCAUAUAAAACAGAUGAUAUUGGUUUGAUUCUUUUUUUACCCAAAAACCGAUUGAACCAACCUUAUUUACCUUGCUAGGUGCAAUAAAGACUUUUCAAAUUAUAAGGCAAGAAACUAAGGAAUAUAAGAUUAAGAAGAAUUAGGAACAAAAAUAGUAAACACUAUUUAUUUAAGUUUCUCUCCC
rnacentral:lncRNA from 1 species